rnacentral:lncRNA from 1 species
CUUUUUUUUUUUUUUUUUUUUUUUUUUUUUUUUUUUUUUUUUUUUUUUUUUUUUUUUUUUUUUUUUUUUUUUUUUUUUUUUUUUUUUUUUUUUUUUUUUUUUUUUUUUUUUUUUUUUUUUUUUUUUUUUUUUUUUUUUUUUUUUUUUUUUUUUUUUUUUUUUUUUUUUUUUUUUUUUUUUUUAUUUUUUUUCUUUUUUUUUUAUUGUCUGUUUUUUUCUUUUAUCCUGUUUUUCUUCCUUUUCAAGAUCUUGAAAAGAGAGAGAAAAUGAGAGAGAGAGAAUGAGAAAGAGAAAACGAGGGAAAGAGAAUGAGAGCAAGAGAGAGAGAGAGGAGGAGAAAUUUUUGGAGUUUUUUUAUUUUUAGUGGCUUUGAUAUUGAAAAUACUAUAUAAAGAAUUUUAGAUGAAAUCAGUCAGUUGAUACAAUUAUUGUUGUUAUGUGCUAUUAUCGUAUGAUAAGCGGGUGGGGCUUUUCUUGUUUUCGUAAACAUCAAGAUUUUAUUGGUUGGGUCUAUGAUUCCAGCCUACAUGAUACUCAAAAGGGCCCUGGUUCAUCUGGAAAUGAAAAGUGCUUUAUGAACGUUUGGAUUGGUGCUUCCUUGACUCGGUUUGGUAACUUCAAUUUCUACCCACCUAUAUCGUGUUAAGUCGGAUCACCGACCUAUUUUCAUGGUUGCGACCAAGCUCAAGAAGUCAAAUCUUCCUCAUACCUUUCGCUUUAUGGCUUCAUGGUUGUCACAUGUUGAGUUUAAGCCUUUUUUUGUCGGAAUGGAAUCGGUCUUUUACCUUUAUUCAUCAGAUGUCCAUUCGAGCUACCAAACUGAAAAAAUGAAAUAAGGAAAUUUUUGGCAACAUCCAAACGAAUAGAAGGAGCUUAUCUUUAAACUUGCUGAUGUUUAAGCUCUCGCAGCUCCUCUACUCAUUCAAGACACCACAAUGGACAUUGCAAGUGACCGGAAUACUCAUUUUUUUCACGUAUCCACCUUCCGUAGGCGUGCUCGGAACCACAUUAUUAAGUGAAGGAUGACUGUGGGGUGUGUAUUCAUUAGGUUUGGGAGUCGGUUAAUUUGGUUAAUAACCAUCGGUUAAUGGUCGGGAAGCGCUUUGAUGAUUGAAAUUAAUUAACCAAAUUAACCGACCGAGCAAAAGCCACGGUUAAUCUUACCGACCGAUAACCGACCAAUCAGUUAAAUGAUCGAUUAUUAACAGACUGACUCUCGGUUAACCGUUGUAACCGGCUCUGACCAAUUUAACUCUCUUCUCAUAUUGCAACAAGAUUCUAGGCUCUGGCUCUAGAUCCGUCGUCGAUUCAAGCCUUGGAGACCAUAGCUUCUCUUCUGGAAACAAUCCGGUGCUCUACAACUUGAUCCUUCGGGACUGGAAGCUUUCCGAGACGGCGUUGUUGCGGAUCAGUAAGGAGAGGAGGAAGCUUCAAGCCUAUGGUGUUGCAGAUCGAAGAAUUGAGAGAGUGGAGGAGGAGAGGAUUGGCCGUGGCGACGAAGGAAGCAUGUGGUGUUGCAGAUCGAAGAAUCGAGAGAGUGGAGGAGGAGAGGAGCGCUUGCGGUGACUCGUCGUGGUCGUCGUCGUGACUGCCGGCGAGAUGCUGAAAUUGAAUCGCUUGGAUUGAUAGAGUUGUCGAGAUGGAUUGAUGGAGUUGUCGAGAUGGAUUGAUGGAGAUGGCUCGGAGUUAACCUAAUUUCAGAAUGAGAGGUUGUGAUGGAGUGGGAGGCUGGGAGGGGAGGGAGCGAUUCUGCGAUUGUGGUGAGCAAAGCUUGAUUUCCUAAUUGGGGACCUUGGUUUUUUUAAUUACCGGUUAACGUUGGUUAACUCGAGUUAACCAACGAUUUUACCCUGCUCCAACAAGUACUCCCAACUGUUCCCCGACCGACCCCUACCUCGGUUAAACCGACACUCUAACCGAGUCGAUCAGUUCAUCUGUUUAACCUAUUAACCGAGACUGAUGGCCCACCCUUAGUAUUCAUCCAGCUUGUUGCUGCAAUUAGUGUCGUAUUGAUAUGGUUGAGAGAGGAUAAAAUAUGCUUGAUUUCAAGUUCUCCAACUUGAAAGGUUUAGCUGUUAAAAAUGUAGAGGUCAUGACUGAGUACUGAUUUCCAGCAAGGAGAAGUUGGAUAUUUGCUUGCGAUAAAAAAGAAUUUGGACAGUCUAUCUUAGGCACAAAAUCUAACGGAUGAGAUGGCAACUUUACUUCAGGGGCCUAUUGGUCAUUUUAAAAUUUUCUUGUUUUUCAGUUUAUUUUUCCAUUCUGUUUAAUAUUGGUUCAAGUAAAAUGAUUUCUUGUAAAUUGGGUCUAUUGAGUAACGUGGGUGGGUAGACUUUAUUGCUCCCAUCGAGCUUGACGUGAUAUUUUCUUCUUCGUUUCUUUAACAUGCAUAAAUUGUAUAUAAUACGAAAGGUUGGAAAUAUAUGUGAAGCUCGAGGUUUAUUAUAUAUGUUUCGAGGUUUAUUAUAUAUGUUGAACCUUUUUGCCAAUUGGUUAUUUUUAUCAUGUAGUGCCUUAUCAAGUAAAGGGAAUGGUUGUUUUUAUCUACUGUCACUAGCCAACUUUCUUUCUCAUGUGAUCAAUUAUUUGAUCACGCAUGAAUGACUACAGUACACAAAAGAUAGAAAUAUUAUAAAAACAAAAAACAAAUAUUAAAAAAAAAUACCUAAAAAGCAGGUACAUAACAACAAAAACAAUAACCGUAAAUAUCAAGUACAUGAAAGCGGAUGCUCAAAAUAAGCACGCACACAUUAAAAACUUUGGUACAUACAAGGCAAGAAAAUCGAGAACAUAUUGGAACUCGAGUACCGGAAUUGGUACGGUAUUAAGUACAACGUGAAGAAAUAUCAAGUACAUUAAAAAGCGAGUAUAUAACAAUAGAAAUAAGUACACGAAAACAACUCAGAGAAAUGAUAAUUUGAUUGCCAAAAUUGAGUAUGAUAAAGUAAAAUGCAAGCACGUAGUACAUGAAACAAAUAUGAGUAAGAGUACAUAAAUUUUUUAGUACAAUACAAGACAAAAACUCAAAUACAUAUAAAAACUGGACACUAAAAAAAAUAAUUAAUUAUUCACAAUUUUAAAUAAUAAUAGUCACGAUUUUUAUCAUGAUUAACAGAAGCUAGUCACGAAAAUAAAUCCGUAACUAACCUAACCGAUGCUAGAUGAACUUGUCACGAAUCUGAAUAACCUGUAACUAAGUUGUCACCGAAAUUUUCCGUGACCAACUCAUCACGGAAGAAACCGUGAACAUAUGUGUUUUUGUUUUUGUUUUUUAAAUUAGUGGCACGGAGCCAUAUGCUGUGAUAAUUGAUUUAUUAAUAAAUUAAUCCCACAUCUCCGUGGCUACUAUAUCACCAGAAUUUCCAGAUUCCGGCAACCACAAUUUCCAGAAUCCGGCAAUAAGAUAGAGUUGAUAAUUGCUUUUUUAUUAGAGUAAAAUGUUCUACAUCUAUACAUUAUGAUACCCAUAUCAAAAUUCCAGAAUCCCAAAAUUGAACAUAACGUCAACGAAAGGCACCAUGCAACAAUGGUGACACUAAGGGUUACAACAACCAGCAAAACCGAAACACAGACUGGAAAUGCUACCAAGAGAAGGAUGAGACUAGAUGAUGAGAUUGAGAUUGAGAGAAGAAAAAUGAUAGUAAGAAAUUUUGUUUUCGAGAGAGAUCAAAUGAAGAUGAGAUCUACUUCUAAUUUAAUAUAAUGGAAAUGGAGAUAUGGUUGUUUAAUGGCAAAGAGAGAAGAAAGGAAUAGCCCAUUAAACGAGGAUAGAGUCUGCAUCAUUUCUUUUUUCGACCUUUUCCCACUAAAAUGCUAAUUUUAAAAUUAUAAAUAAAAGUUGGUCACGGUUCCAACAUUUACCGUGAGUAGUUGGUCGCGGUAUUCAACAAUCCAUGACUAGUUAUGGAUUUUUUUUUAUCUAUAAGUAGUUAGUCAUGGUUUUUAAAGCCGUGAUUAAUAAAUCGUGAUUAAUCGUUGAUUUUUUUUGUAGUGCGAGUAUGAGUAUUGAGUAAAACGUCAUGUACAAAAACAAGUACAUCAAAAGCGAGUACAUAAUUAUCAAAACAAGUACUAAAACGAGAGGAAAAGUACAUAAAAAGCGAGUAUAUAAUAAUAGAAACAAGUGCAGUAAAAAUCAAGUGCAUGAAAGGAAAACGAAACUCAAACUAAACACUAAUACAAAAAAAACUUUAGUACGCAAAUAAGUAAAUACAAGAAAAUUAACAUACACAAACGAAUACAUAAGAGUAUAGUGUUUAAACAAAGCGAUUAUACGGAUCAAUACGAUGUUGAGUACAAAACAACAACUUGAGGCUUUAUCCCUCAUUUUUAGAUGAUUUUGUACUAAGUUCUUAUAUGUAUUAGUUUUUAUUAAUGUAAUCCCUCGUGUACUUUGUCUUUGGAUUUAUUUUUAUGCCAUAUCUAUUUAUUUACGCAUUUGUGUAUACUUAUAUUUUUAGAACUUUAUACUCAAAUCAAUUAAUCAAACAAUAAAACUAUUUUCUCUUUACACGAACCAACAUAAUAACCCAUCACCCCAUACAGGGUUGUGAAGGAGGUGCAGUGACCAGAAUUUUCUAGUUGUUGCUUUUCUAUAGUUUGAUAAGGGUAAGCAUCUUGUUCUAGAAUAUAUGUUGUUAGGUUAUAACAAUGCAUCUAGUUGAGCAUGAUUCUUUGGUCAAGUGUUACUGGGAUUCUUUUUGUUCCACAUCAAUGCUCGGAGGUCGAAGAGGCAACGAGGGUGACGAAGAAAUCGGCAUCACCACGUGAGAGAAGAUGAAGAAGAGGUCAGAGAGUGGAGCCGGUGGAAAAGAUAUACUAGAAGAGGUACUUAAAGUUACUUGUACGACAAAACUGCCCUUAUUCAAUUGGACAACCCCUAGAUUAAAAUUUAAAAAUGAACGGACGCGAUUCGUUUGCGGCCAGCAAACACAUAAUAUCAUGGCUGCCUAUCCGGACUCGUCAUAACUGGCGUCAACAUUACGUAGUGUUGUCAAAAAUUAAAAAGGGGAAUAUAUAAUAAUAAUAAUAACAGACGUAAUCUUGUGUAUAUAAUGAUAUUAAAACGUUUUUCAAUCGACAAAGCCAAGUCUGCGGGAGGAACAGCUAAUGGACGAACAGCCUAAGCAUAAGCCGCCUUCUUCGUAUUCUUCAGAUUCUCUGAAUCUCUACCCUUUUUUUUUGUUACGCGGAUUCCCUUCCCUCGUCUGCAAACAAAAAGCUCUUCGUUGACUUUUUAGCAGGCUUUUUUAAAAAACCUUAAUUGAAAAAAUUUGUACAUGGUUGUUGCCUUUGUUGGCGUCAGCAUGACCCAAUGCUGUUGUCAUGUUCAUGAUUGCUCCAACUCACCUGGCUGCGCAUCUGCCUUCUGACCUGACCUGCCCUCCUCCUUUUUUUUAAAUUAUGUUUCCCCAAAAUUAAAUUUAAAUCGUUACAAAAUUGGUCUCUCCUUCUCCUAUAUAUAACGUGGAAGAGCUCCUGCCAAAAAAGUCAUUCAAACUCAAAGCAGAUAAAUUAUCAAAAUAAAAAAGAAAACCCCAGUGCUCUGCCUGCCGUUAAGAAAUUAGUUUAUUGGGUUUGUUGUGUUUAUGAAAGCUGUGUUCCAGAGACUGAUAUCGUCAAGCACCCAGAUUGGCUGUAGGAAGAAAGUUGCAUCUUUUCCAUUAAUCAGAAGCGCUAAUAUGUCUGAAUCCUCUGCCUUUGAUUCUCCGAGAUUGGUGACCAAGAAGGUCCUUGCUAAGCUUCAGCGUGAAGGGGAUGGUGCUUCUGUCAGGAGAAGCAUUGGAAGGUAUAAUAUAAUAUAUCAUGGAUGGAUGGAUGGAUAUACAAUUUUCUUCUUGUCAAAAUUGAAUUAACUGUUUUCGUUUCUGUGGUGAAAUUGAAUGAUUGAAUGUUGAAUUAUUUUGGUUCAGGAGUGAGCUCAGGUCUCUGGACCCUUUCCUCAUGUUGGAUGAGUUUUCAGGUCUGCUUUGCUUAAUUACUUGAAACCAAAUUCCUUGAUAUUUUCUAGAAUUAGGAUGAUGAUGGAUGAUGGAUGGUAUUUAAUUUGUUGUUGCAAAUUGCAAUGCAUGAAGUCUCAGCUCCUGCUGGAUUUCCUGAUCAUCCACACAGAGGUUUUGAGACUGUUACAUACAUGCUGGAGGUACAGACAGUACUGGAGUUAAUUAUUUAUUAUGAAUUGAAGGCUGUUUUUUGUCCUUGGUAGUCUAUUUAUUGAUGUCUGUGAAAUUCGUGGGUGGCACUGGCAGGGAUCAUUCACUCAUCAAGAUUUUUCUGGGCAUAGAGGGACUAUUCAUGCCGGGGAUGUUCAAGUAAAAUAAUUCACUCAAUUACAAUACUACGACGUUUACUUAAUUAGCUAGCUUUACUUGAUCAAAGUCAAAAACUCUUUCUUUUUUUAAAGUAAACAACAACAACAACUUGUGUGUUUUCCUGUUGGGCAGUGGAUGACAGCAGGUAGAGGGAUAGUCCAUUCAGAAAUGCCUGCAGGAGAAGGAGUCCAGAGAGGCCUUCAGCUUUGGAUAAACCUCUCUUCUCAACAUAAAAUGUAUGUUUUUAUUUCCUUUUUUGUUUGUACUUUCCAACUUCACCAUUCCAACAGUUUGUAAUAUGGAACCAACAGGAUUGAGCCAAGGUAUCAGGAACUUCUGAGGCAGGACAUCAAAAGAGCAGAGAAAGACGGGGUUGAAGUCCGAAUCAUAGCAGGGGAAUCAAUGGAAAUCGAGUCUCCAGUUUAUACAAGGACCCCAACAAUGUACCUUGAUUUCACACUGCAACCAAGGUCCCAAAUGCACCAGCCCAUUCCAGAAUUAUGGAACGCAUUCAUUUACGUCAUUGAAGGUGAGGGAGUGUUUGGGAUCCCAAACUCCUCACCAGUUGAAGCACAUCAUACACUCGUUCUAGGCCCUGGUGAAGGAAUGAGCGCCUGGAACAACUCCUCUUCCAAACCCUUGAGGUUUGUCUUGAUUGCAGGCCAGCCACUUAACCAACCAGUGGUGCAGCAUGGUCCUUUUGUCAUGAACACAGAAUCUGAAAUCCACCAAGCAAUUGAAGAUUACCACUACUCCAAAAAUGGGUUUGAAAUGGCGCAGUAUUGGAGUUCCCAAUAGGGAACAAGUAAGUGCUUGGAUCACUCAAAACCAAAUCUCCACAUUCCCUCUCAACUUUGAAGAAGAAAAGAGUAAAGAAUAAAAAUACACAUCCACAAACACUAAAGGCCACACGCAUAUGUGAGUGAUACUCAUUUGUGUUCCAUCAUGUAUUAAUUUAGCUUUUAUCCUCUUCCAACCUUUUACUAUUCCAAAUCAAAAGGUUGAUUAUUGCAUUGUCACACAAAACAAUGAUAAUAAAAAUACUCAAUUCAUAUAAUCCUUAGAAUUAAUUCUUUUCAUAACUAUAGUAGAUGUUUGAACAAGUGAGAACAAAAUAUAAGCUUAAUCUUAAUAGUAAUAUCAACGGAUAAUAGCACUGUGUGUCACUUAAUUAUUACCCAUGUCGCACAUAAACUACUUAACUUUCUACAUUGCACAUAAAGCCACUUAACUUUGCUUAUGCUUGCAACAUCCAAAUUUUCAUUCAAUUUAUGGAUAGACUGAUCGAAUUGAUGAGUUCUUAUUCGAGAUCUUCUGUAUGAAUAACCUCCAACACAUUAAAGAGAACAAUAAUUUAUAAGAACUGACAGAAUAACUUAUUACUUGUUUACAGAAAAGAAUGAUAAAAUAAAAAGGCAAGAAUAGAUUAUAAUCAUGCCUUGGACACUGCUUUCGAAAAAAUAUUUCCCGAAUUUAGAACACCAAUACAACUAAAGGUUAAUCACAAUAUUCACUCAAACUCUAGUGUAGGGCUUGAAUGUUGGAACUUGGAAACUUAUGCUAUUUUGAUUCCGAUUUUGAGAGUGAAAACAAAGUUUUCUGCCCAUAUUAAUCAACUAGGAUUUCCCUUUUUAAAGAGAACGCAUCCACUAACCAACAUCAAAUCCAGAUUCUCCUUUCUGAUGAUCAUCAAUGAUAAGCAGAUAUGGGGAAGGUGGAGUUGAGCUCCCGAUUUCUAGGAAGCCAACCAAAUACUUCUGUUAAGCAUAAGUCUUGAGUAUAUGCGGUAUGUAACUGAUCAUUACUGUUACUUCAAGUGGUUAGAUAAUGGUUACAUCAUCUUGCUGUUGUCCGUUGAUGACAUGUUGAUAGCAAGUUCUAUUGUAAAAGAAGUAAACAAGUUGAAGAAACAGUUAUCUAACAGUUUACUAUUAAGAAUAUAGGAGACGCUAAACAGAUUUUGAGUAUGUGCAUUGAUCAUGAUAGGCAAGUAGGAAAGUUUUAUCUUUCGCAAGUUGAAUAUAUCAAGAAAGUCUUGAAGAGGUUCAAAAUGCAGGAUGCAAAACUAGUAAAGAUUCCUUUGGGUGGCUAUUUCAAGCUAUUUGAGAAGGAUAUGCCUAAUAAUGAUCCAGAACGUGCCCAAAUGCACGAAACACCAUACAUUUUUGUAAUUGAUAGCUUGAUGUAUGGAAUGGUGUGCACAAUACCAGAAAUUGCACAUGUAGUGGGAGUUGUCAAUAGAUUCAUGGGAAAUCGGGGGGAAGCGAUUAAGUACUCCUGAGAUAGUUGAAGAUUACUACUAAAAGGGUCUUGGGCUUUGAGGGCAAAGUAAUGUAGUUAGAAGGAUUUGUCAUCAAGUGACCUUGAUAGAAGAAGAUGUACAACAUGGUAUAUUUUUACUCUUUGAGGUACCAUGGUUUCUUGGGCUUUUAAGUUGCACUGUCUAACACUCAAGCUAAAUAUGUUGCGGUAACGAAGGCCAGCAAAGAGAUGGUAUGGUUUUAGAAUUUCUUUGGUGAAUUGGGGAAGAAGAAAGAGGAUAGCAUAUUGUACAUUAGUCUUAUACACUUGCAAAAAAUUCAGCAUUUCAUUCAAAAUCGAAGCUCAUAUUGAGUUGAUGUAUCACUUUAUGGGUUGAUCUCUUGGAAAGGAAGAUCUUACGGCUUAUGAAGAUUCUAGGAAGUGAGAAUCCUAUGGAUAUGCCGACUAAGGUUGUAAAGUUGGAGAAGUUGACACUGUGUAUGACUUUAACUGGUUUUGUAACUGAAGUUGAAGGUCAGAUGCUGCUUGUAGUAGGAAGACGUUGAACAUGGAGAACCAAUGAGAGGAGUAUGUCUUCAGGUGGGAGAUUGUUGGGUUAUGGUGCCUAAGAAACUGAAGGCUUGGUCCAGUUAGUUUGUUUAGUUAGAUAAAAAUUAAGAUUAAUCUUGUCUAUUCUAUAUAGGAUUAGAAUUAAUAUGGUAGCUCCCUAUAAAUAAUCUAUAUUCAUAUCAUUGUAAUCUGUAUCACAACAAUAGUAGUCGAAAUCCUAACUUGGUUUGUAAAAAAAGAAAUUCUAGCGUGGUAGCGCCCUAGACAUACUCUUCUCGUGAAGAGGAACUAGGUUCUUAAUUUUUCAGUUUAUGAUUGCGUUUCAUUUUUUACAGGAACGACCAGAUCCAGCUCAGAAACUUCCUCAAGAUGGCGACGUUGAAGAAGCUCUGUCUCGCUAACGCCUAACAAUGGCUUCUCUAGACUGAUUCAGACUGUCCUCACCGCUGGAAAAGGAGAUUAGAUAGAAAUCCAUCUUUUAUUCCUCUUCAUUGUUUUUAUGACAAUUUCUUCUUUUCUUUUAUAAUAGAGAACUAUUUAUCACUUUUGUUGGACAUUUCUUGUUUGUUUCCCUCAAGAACUAAUAAUUUUGGUCAAUGGGUGACCACUGAUGAUGUUGAUUCUAUAAGCUUUAGUAUUUAGUCAAAUUCUUGAGUUUUUUUCAACUAGAAAAAAAAAGAAGAGAGGUUACAGUUUCAAUUAUUAAGUUUGAAGAAUUAAAGAAAAAAAACUAGACUACAGAUAUGAAAAGGUAAUUCUGAUAAUUUUUAUUGAUGAAUUUUUUUUUUGUAAUGAGUAAGAUAAUUUUUUAGGUUUUAUAAAUGGGUUUUUGGUUAAAAAUCUCAUUUAGAUAGAGUUUUUGAUGGGUAAUUAUGAAAUUUGACAUAAAGGGUACAUGAUUAAAAAGGUGGGAAAGGAAGAUGCGAAAAGAAGGUAAGAAGGAAUCAAUUCAUGGCAAAAAAGAAAAAUAAAUAAGAGGGAAGAAAGAAGACAUAUAUUGAUGGGAGGCGGAGGUGGGAUAGGGAGGUGAGAGAAAGAUGUAACAACAAAGAAGGGUUUAGCGAAAGGUGNNNNNNNNNNNNNNNNNNNNNNNNNNNNNNNNNNNNNNNNNNNNNNNNNNNNNNNNNNNNNNNNNNNNNNNNNNNNNNNNNNNNNNNNNNNNNNNNNNNNNNNNNNNNNNNNNNNNNNNNNNNNNNNNNNNNNNNNNNNNNNNNNNNNNNNNNNNNNNNNNNNNNNNNNNNNNNNNNNNNNNNNNNNNNNNNNNNNNNNNNNNNNNNNNNNNNNNNNNNNNNNNNNNNNNNNNNNNNNNNNNNNNNNNNNNNNNNNNNNNNNNNNNNNNNNNNNNNNNNNNNNNNNNNNNNNNNNNNNNNNNNNNNNNNNNNNNNNNNNNNNNNNNNNNNNNNNNNNNNNNNNNNNNNNNNNNNNNNNNNNNNNNNNNNNNNNNNNNNNNNNNNNNNNNNNNNNNNNNNNNNNNNNNNNNNNNNNNNNNNNNNNNNNNNNNNNNNNNNNNNNNNNNNNNNNNNNNNNNNNNNNNNNNNNNNNNNNNNNNNNNNNNNNNNNNNNNNNNNNNNNNNNNNNNNNNNNNNNNNNNNNNNNNNNNNNNNNNNNNNNNNNNNNNNNNNNNNNNNNNNNNNNNNNNNNNNNNNNNNNNNNNNNNNNNNNNNNNNNNNNNNNNNNNNNNNNNNNNNNNNNNNNNNNNNNNNNNNNNNNNNNNNNNNNNNNNNNNNNNNNNNNNNNNNNNNNNNNNNNNNNNNNNNNNNNNNNNNNNNNNNNNNNNNNNNNNNNNNNNNNNNNNNNNNNNNNNNNNNNNNNNNNNNNNNNNNNNNNNNNNNNNNNNNNNNNNNNNNNNNNNNNNNNNNNNNNNNNNNNNNNNNNNNNNNAUGGGUUUGUGGUUAAAAAUCUCAUUUAGAUAGAGUUUUUGAUGGGUAAUUAUGAAAUUUGACAUAAAGGGUACAUGAUUAAAAAGGUGGGAAAGGAAGAUGCGAAAAGAAGGUAAGAAGGAAUCAAUUCAUGGCAAAAAAGAAAAAUAAAUAAGAGGGAAGAAAGAAGACAUAUAUUGAUGGGAGGCGGAGGUGGGAUAGGGAGGUGAGAGAAAGAUGUAACAACAAAGAAGGGUUUAGCGAAAGGUGAUAUAAACAAAAUUAAUUUUGUAAGAAAAUAUUUUUUUUAAUGCCAUGUCAACUAGUUUGUAACUUUUAGUGUCCAUGUCAACAAACAAAAUUUUAUAAAGUUACCAAAAUUCAAAAUUUGUGUUACGAAAAGUAUUUCUAAUAGAUUGUGCCAUUUUCGGUAAAGGCUUAAUAGGUUGUGCAUUUAAGAAAAAAAAUAUUAUUGUGUUUCUACAAUUAACAUCAAUUAUCACCAAACCAUUAAAUACUAAAAACCAAUUAAGAUAUAGUCAUGUUACAAAAAAUGACUCUUGUUAUGAUUUUUUUGUUUAUGCAAUGAUAGGAUGAGAUUAAAAGGUUAAUUUCUUUUUCGACAAAACUUGUAAAAUAUUAUUAAACUCAAUUAGAUAUAAUAUCAUCUACAGUUGGUCAAUCAAAAAAAUUGAGGGUCUAUCCACCGAAACAAUCGUGGAGUUCCAAUGAGUCUGAUUAUACGCCAUAACAUGGGUAAGCUUGUUAACUUAUCUCCGGCCAUGACGCCAAUUACCACAAUCAAACUUUGCCAAAAGGCAACGAAUUAUGGACUAAAAUCCAUGUUCGGUAUGAUGAUCUUCCACAUGAUGCAAAGUCUCAACCAUGAUCAAGCUAUCACUUUCAAGAACCACAUUAGGAUACCUAUGUUGCAAGGCCAAUUGUUAGCAAAAUCUUGCCUCGACCGCCUCAGUUAAAGUAGGCUCAUAGCAACCCUACAAUUUCAACAUAUCCGCCAUUAAGUAAUGCCGAACGCCAUCCCAGAUAACCACCCCAAUACCCAUUCUGGAUCCUGUAAUGAUAGUUGCGUUUAAGGUAGUGAAACUGGUGAGUCAACAUGGGAUCGAAAAGGGACCUAGAAUCGUAAUCGUAAAAUCAAAUCGCAAAAUCAUAAAAUUUCACGGUUCUUCAAUAAUACUAAAUAUUCAGAAAUUCACCUUAGCAUAAAGACGUAAGUUCAUUAUCCAAUCUAAAAUUAAAAAUAAAAUCUCAAAUUCACCUUAAUAGGUUCUUCAGUUGCACUACUUUGAGCUGAUUUUCGAGUCUAGGAGACCGGAGACAAAAUCUGUGAACAAAAUUGUACAAUCUUACAACAAAAAACAAAAUACCUUCGAACAAAGAACCUAAACACCAAAAAUCCAAAACUAAUCUAACAAAAACAGAAUUAGAGAAAGGAAUGGGAUGAUGAGCAAAAUCAUGGAAUGGGAUGAUGAAGAAUCAUGGAAUCAAGGAAACAGAGAUACCUUCGAGCCGUAGGAGUGGCUGGAGCGAUGGGGACGACCAAAGAGGCUAUGACGAGGACCAUUGACUCCUGGUUCUGGUCUUCUAGACUUCUGGGGGACGACCGACGGGGGAGACGACAAGAGAGAAGACUGAGGAUCGAGCAGAGAUCGAACGAGCAAUCGACGACUUGCACAAUUUUUUUCAGAAGAUAAAUGAAUUUAAGGUUCGAUUUUUUGCCCAAAAUUGAACUCGGAUUUCCGUUUCGGUUCGAACCGAAGCAUAAAAACCAGCGGUCAGCACAGAGUAGUGGACUCGUGAAUCGUUGUAAACUCGUUCGAUUCCACGAUUUUCACGAUUUUGCGAGCGAUUUCAUGCCAUUAUAAGCCAUUUUGAUUGCGCGUGAAAUCUGACUCGACGGACCUAACAAAACUCGUAAAAUCGUCGAUUCCACUUCCUUCGUUGUGUAUGUACUGAUAUGGGGUUCCUGGUUUAGUGGUUGAACCGGGGUUGGACCGUUUUUAAACCGGGUCGGCCAUUUUAAAUAUUACAUAAAGUUAAAUCGGACCGAAAAAAUAUUGGAUUGAACGAAAUCAAACUGACAGUACAAAUAGUCAAAUUUUGAGAUUUAACCUUUGAAAAUUGAACAAUUUUAAAAAAUUUAUGUACAUUAUGAUGUUAUUCUUUUUUAAGUUUAUGUAAUAUAAUGAUAUUAUCUAUAGUUGAAGUCUUCCACACAUAUAUAUCUAGAAUGCUAAAGAAACCCUAAUGGAUCUUUCAAUCUUUCUUUAAUUGGGCUCCAACUACUCAAUACCCUCUCUCACACUUUUUUUCUCUAUAGAGAAACUCUCUCCCUUUUUCAUCAGAUUUUUUUCUCCUUGUAAUCUAAUCUUAUUUUUCUAAUAUUUUCAUUCUAUUUCUUCCCUAUUUGUCUCUUUUACUUUUUUCUUUUUGGAAGGUUAUUAGAAAAAGAGGACCACUAAAUAAUUCCGUCGACGUCCAGCAAUAGGGUUUUCCAAUUUUUUCACAGAUGGAUCCAUGUUUCCAAAGUUCUUUUGUUUUUUUUUCUGAUCUGAUAGUUGGUUCUUUAACUAGUUGAAUUAUCUGGUUUUCCGGGGAAAUCGGGUCAAUCCUCAGUUUUGUUCAUUCUCCUCAACCGCUAACUCAGUAUUGAUCAAAUGAUCGGUUCACAGUCGGACCGGCCGGGCUGAUAUGGUUUUGCUAACAUUGAUCUUAGUAGAGCCGACUAGAGGCCAUUCCAACCGAGCCACAAUGGCCUCAUACGAAAAACUCCUAGUUACCCUGAGUUCUUGAUAAUAAAUAAGAAUUGGAGUGCUUGUGCUAUGAUAUCACACUCCAAUUAGUGAAACUCAUUAAGCAUACACACAUUCCUUUCUUUCCAUCAGAAUCACAUAAGCAUUACCCAUCUUUCCAACUCCAAAUUCAAAACUUUGCGGUUGCUAAGUGAGAACCAAUCGCAUCAGUCAUUAGAAUCAUCAAAAUCAACCAGUGAUCAUGUUUAGAGUUACCUCAAAUCCGCCAAGUCCAUUGGCAAUCUCGGAAAUAGUGAAUUUGCAGGCAACCUGCAAAAUGGGCAUAUAUCACCAUGUCGAGGAUUAUGCUUAUACAUAUUAUACCUGUAGGUAAAAUUUACGAUGAAAUUUUCAUAAGAACUGCUCACCUUCGACGGAAUCUACAAUGACCAAGAACAAUUCCAAACAUCCGAGUUGCAAUUUGGAUUAAGACCCACUAAAAGAAAACCGUGUCCAUUAUUACGGAUAAAACCGGCCGUUGUCACUGAUAUUUCCAUGUCCCUGCCUCGUUGUCGCGGGAAAAUCAUCCGCGACAACGGGCGCCUUCAUAAUGAGGGGUGNNNNNNNNNNNNNNNNNNNNNNNNNNNNNNNNNNNNNNNNNNNNNNNNNNNNNNNNNNNNNNNNNNNNNNNNACGGCCGCCUUCAUAAUGAGGGUUGUGGGGACUAAACUAUCCGCGAAAAAUAGGGUUGGCGCGAACCCGUUAUGACCGGUUUGGUUCAAAUAGUUAGGUUGAAAGGCAUUUUAACAAGUUUAUCCGCAAAAACGGCAAGAGAUAUCCGCGACAAUGGCUAACAACAUUUGUUUUGCCGUCAUAACGGUUCCCCUAACGACGUUGAGUUUAUCCACGGCCAAGGUUGACAUUGUUAGUUUCUCCAUCCUACCCGUAAUGGUUGUUGUGCCAAAUACUAGGCCAUAAUAUCUGCGACAACAGCUCAAGUACUGCCUAAAAUUUUGUUAUUUUUGCUUGUUUCGUCCACUGUGGGCGCCUAAAAUAAAAGUUUAUAUAUGCACUAUUCUACACAUAACACAAUAUAUACCAAUAUCAUUAGCAUAACGAUAACACAUAUGAUCAUCCAAGAGUUAAUACUAUAACAUAAUCCAUAGAUCUACUCCAACAUAAUUCCUUGAUUUUUUACCUAACUAAAGUCAUUAGUUCACUAGACUACAUCACUAUCAACCUAGAUAUAACUACACUAGAGACUCGUCAUCCUCAUCCUCGUCAUUAUGACCAAGAUCCUUAUUAGCUCAAGUAUACAAAAGAAGAUAUAUAAAAUUGAAAUUAGGUUAAAACACAUAAAAUUAAGUAACAUGAACUUUAUAACAUAUAAAGAUUACUAAUAAUUUACCCGCCACAUCGUAGUCGUAGUUCUGUUGGAUGUGGUUAUAUUAUAUUAACCGCUACAAUCGUCGUUACGGAUCAUUAUCCGUGUCCGACGAUGACCUAACCGUGACACCCGUUAUCGCGGAUAUUAUCCCCCAUAACUAAUCUACGUCAGACAUCAAAUUUUGUUGUAGUGGCCAAGCUAUUCUUUAAAGCUAGUCAGCCAGUUUUAAUACCCCUAUUUUUUCGAAUAAACAGCUUUACUACUUGAAAUCCAAAUAAGCAUUCCGAUUCUUGAACAUCGCAAUGAAUAAUUUGCACGAUAGAAGUUGAUAUAGUUGACCAAAAACAGCUUUCAAUAAGAGCAGUAUUCUACUGAUAAGUCGUUCGAUUAACCAACUCACGAACUGUAGCAUCAACAUCAAACCUCAUCGGCGUAGAGGUCACAAAAUUACCGGGUACUAACGGAAGCCAUCCGUCUCCCCAAAUUCUAACGGACAUACAAUUUCCCACCCACCACCCAAGGCCACUCCAUACAAAACAUUGAGCACCAAAAAGGCUAUGCCAUAUAAAGCUAAACCCAACUCAGCUUUAAAGACAUAAUAGAAUUUUUAAAAUACUUAGCUUUCAUAAUUCUUACAAUAAGGGAAGAUGCUCUUGAGUGUAAGUUCCAAAGAUGUUUAGCAAGUAAAGUAAUGUUAAAGCCUAAAAAAUCACAUAAUCCCAUCCUAGCUUCGGAUUUCAAACUCAAUAGAUAUUCUUGACAAAAUGAGGGAUGAGCACUGGGUCGGGUCACCCAUCAAAACCCACCCGCCUAUAAUCACUCUCUACCACUACUACCCUUUUCCCCAUCACCAUAAAACUUUGCAUGCUUGUUUGUGUGUUUUUGUAGUUUUUUUGUGUGUUUUAUGUCGCUUUUCAUCGUUUGAGUAGAGAGAGAGAGGGAGAGAGAGAGGGAGAGAGAGAGAGGGAGAGAGAGUAUUUCAAGGGUUGCAUGUCAUACCAAUGAUUAAGAAUGCAUGAUAGAAGGUCUCGAUUCAAAUUAGGGUUCGGUCGGUGUCUGAUCGAAGGACGAAUGAUGCUUGCAUUAUUUUAUUUUUACUGAAAAAUUGGGCUUCUGGAGCAGCCUUUAGAUCAAUCUCAAGGUGUGUGGCUUUGCAUAGUGUGUGUCGUUUCCUUAAGUUUCUCUCGAUAGAAAAUCGAGUUUAUGGCGUGUGAUCCCACAUGCCAUGUGACUGAUUUUUGACAAAACGAACCGACCAAAGAACAACCAAAAACCCAACCGGCUCAAACCGUAAUGAACCAGAUUGAUUUUCAAACCGAUUUUCAACCAAAUCAAACUGAGUUUGACCAGACGCAUUGACCCUUCGUUGACCGGCCGUUGCCCCCGUUGACCGGUCACCAUGGAAGAAAAAACAUGGCAGUUUAGUAGUAUUUUGGGCAUAACAUUUUGCUCGGGAGUCUGAUUGACACAAGGUCAGUGACGUUGGAAACUUGUUCAGUUGCCUACAACUUUGAUGUCAUGAUGUGGCCUAAAUCCAUGCAGUUUGUGCUCAUUUUUCUUGGUUUGGAUUGAUGGAAUUUGAGAAAGUUUGAAUUGUGGUCUUGUUUGGUUUGAUGAUUUGGUGCGAUCGUGAUCAAUUUCUUGAUAGUAUUAUAGUGAUAUGUUCAUUGCAAAUGCUAACGUUUGGGAUGGUUGUCCAAAAUGGAUAAUUCUAGCUUUGCAAUGUGAAGAUUGCUGGAUGUUGAGACGUGAUCACUUUGUCACUCUUGUAUCGAUGGCAUGUUGUUGAUUUUCAUGAGAACUUGGAAUGGCAUCAUGAUGCUUCAAAGUGUGGUUGAACGUAGGUUGUUACUAGGCCUGAGAGUCGGUUAAUUUGGUUACUAACCAUCUGCUUAAUGUUCGGGGAAAAUGAUUUGGAGAUUAAAGUUGGUUAAUCGGUUUAACUGACCGACCAUAUGUAAUGGUUAAAAAGCCGACCAAUAACUGAUAAAUCGGUUAAAUAACCAAUUAUUAACCAACAGAUUAGUCGGUUAAUCCUAUGAACUGACUUUGAUUGAUUGACCGACUAUACCGACUUAACCUAACAAGAUCUGAAUCUCCAUGCUCAUCUCUGCCAUCGAGUGAGCCACGUUCUGCUCAUGAUAACCGUUCGUCCAAGCAUUCAUACUCUACUAAGAAAGCUUGCCAUGGCCGCCACUCUGAACACCGGUCAAAGAACUGAAUACUUGUUCCAAGAUCCGAACUUCCAGAACCGUCUCCAAUCCAUCUUCCCAAUUGUAGUUUGGACAAAGUUUCCUCAUCUGAAUUUUUACUCAAUCACACAACUACAACCUACACGACAACCAUAAUCAAUAGAGUGGAGGGGGAUAGGAUGAAACAGAGGACUGGUUGAAAUUAUAUGGGCCUAUGUUGCAUCCUCAAUAGCUCGUCGUCGCCAAGCCUCACUGAGCCGUCCCCGAGAGAGGAAGAGACGUAGAGUCUAGAGAUCGUGCUUUACUAGUGCUCAACACUCAUGGAGCCGUCACUGAGAGAGGAACAUAAUCCCUAAUGAAUCGUGAAAUCGAGAAUGAACGGGGAUAAGUGAAUAUGUUUGUGUGUGUGUGAGUUUGACCUAAAAAUGGGGGGAUUGGGAAUACGACGUAGACAUUUGGGUUCAGACUUGGGGUUCUUUUGACCGAUUAAUGUUGGUUAACACAAGUUAACUGACGGGUUUUAACCGAUUCACCGUUUAACUGAAGUCAGUUUUUCUCUUUGACCGUCCCCCAACCAACCUGUAGCUCGAUUAAACCUUCCUCUAACUUAUUCGGUCGGUUAAUCAAUUUUAAACGAUUAACCGAAACUGAAUUCCUACCCUUAGUUGUUACUAGGUGCUUUUGUUGCUCCCAAUUGAUGAUUUGUGAUUAUUUCCAUGCUCAUUUAAUUUGCUUCCAUUGCUCAUAUUUUGUCCUACCAUUACCCUUGAUGACUCAUUGGUUACUCACUGUUUUGGUAAAUGGUUCAAAGAAGCAUGAGGCAUAUUACUAGUCCAUUUGUUCCUGUAAUGAUAUAUCUUUGACCUCACCUUUUGGUAUAACUUGAAUGAUGCAUACGUUGUCACUUCAUGCUUUGCAUACACUCUUUAUGCUCGUUCUUGUUCAUUGGACUUGGUCAACAUUUGUGAGGAUUUCUUUGUGGCAAUUGAUGAUAAAUGAGUUAAGGUGGUCCCAUAGCUUUUGCUUACCCUUGUCUUACUAAUUUAUGAAUUAUAGGAUGCUCUUGUUUAGGAUUGCUAGUUAGUCUUGCUUGAGAAUAACUAGUUAUCUUCUUCAUUGGUUUUGCCUUUCUUUUACAUCUUGCCUAUGCCAUGUCUACUUAUGAGCUAUUUAUUGCCUAUCGUUGCCUAAUUCGAUUGGAUGCUUAUUGAGGUGGUUCCUUAGUGGCCGUAGGAUUAUGGGUUGACACCUCUACAUGCUUGAUGUGUAUGAUUAUUCUCCAUUUCGAAAUUUUCAAUGAUACUUUAAAGUCAAAUUUGAAUGCUCUUUACAAAUGUGUCAAUUUUGGCACAGUUUUCAAGGAUUCAUCAUUUAGUGUUUAUAAUUCAUUUUCGUUUUAAAUUUUCGUUUCCCACAUUUACUUUUCAUGUUUUGUUGCUUUUAUUGUUUUAAAUUUUAUUAUUUUUAUUUUAAUAGGCUUACUUUCCUUGUAUAUCCCCAAUUGUAACUUGGUAUCCGUAUUCUCAACUAAAUCAACAAAUGACACCAAAUAACUUAAAAUUGAGAACUAUAAGAGCUCAAAAGAAGGAGAUUUAGCAGAGUCUCUUAUAGGUUUCAAAAAAGCGAGGAAGGAUCUUCAAGUGGAGAGGACCCUUUCUCCUCCCUAACUCCAAUGGCGAACAAAACUCUAGCAUUAGACCACCUAAAGUCAGACGAUAAGCCAUGCAUUCAUCUCGUGGACUUUAUCUUCUAUUGCGACACCAUCAAGCUACACGGUGUUUCUGUUGAGGUUCACAUCGUGUUCCCCUUGAGUUUCAGCAACCAUCCACUCCAAGCACCUUAAAUCAUCCGUCUUAGUUUCUGCUUGUCCCCAAACACCGUACAUCGCAUGUACUUCGUGAUUUUUCCAUUCUUUGAGGCAUUUAGCUCCUCCUUGUACAUCAUACAGUUAUGAAUAAUGCCUCGACGUUGUUGUGUGCCUGAAAUUGAUAAAAAACACAACGCAACAACAUCAAAUGGACCCCAAACGGGUAUGAGACACUAAAUCGAGAUAGAAGUUACAAAUGCACAAAACAUCAUGUCGUGAAUGUUUCGAUCCGCGACACCGAUGGCUUGAAAUAUUUCAGAGUCGCCACCAAUCUGUUGAAGCGGAUUGGACGCUGUCGACAUAACCCAGGUCCUUUUGGACGUGAGUUAGAACAGGUCUGCGGAACAGAGAUCCUGGAUUCGAGAGGCGGUUACGUGCAGGGAAGGAUUAGCACCCCCAUAGCGCCCGUCAAACCGGUACUACUAAAUUUGAUAAGUUAUGUUUUAUUUUCUUAGUUUAGUGGUUUAAUUAUGCUUUAGUUUGGACGCAUAAGGUUAUGUAAAUUUUUUAGAGAAUAUUUUUAUUCAAUUGUAAGUCUUUAUGAGUUCCCACUCUUGUGGAAAUUUUUUUUUAUGUUGAUAAAUAUUUUGAGUUGAACAUUCUUAAUUUAAUUGUUUGGAUUUACGAAUUCCCAUUCUUGUGGAAAUUUUGUUUUACGCUGGUGAAUAUUUUUAAGUUGGUUAUUUUUAAUUUAUAUGUUUGGACUCAAGUCUUACGACUGCCUACGUACCUAAUUCUUUGGGAUCAAAGAUCAUGUAGUUCGUUAUGGAAAAGUUGAUUUGAGGAUUUUUUGUAAUUUUUACUAUUAUAAAAACCACGUUAUCAUGCUCAUUUUUUAUUUGAAAGACAUUUAUUUGGUUAUUUCAAAGUUGGAACUUUAUUUGCCCACUUAUGAUUAAAUGAUAAUUCUACAAAAUUCGAAACUCUUGUCACGGAUACGAAAUUCAUAUAACAUUGCUAUAAUAUCUUUAAAGGAUUAUUAUUAAGGAAAUUUCACAUUUUUUGCCAAUCGAAAAAUUAAUUGGUUUAUAUCAGUUAACUUAAUUUGACAUAAUUAAAAAUGCAUUACAAGACGGUUAACGAACUUACAUUUAAAUAAAUAUGUCACAAGUAUUUUUGGUGAUUUGACAAUUCUAUUGUGGUUAUGUUAAUGUUAAUUAAAAUGAUACGUUGAUUUGAAUAAUUGUAAAGUUUUGAGUUUUUAAGUUUACAACUUUAAGGUAUAAAUAUCAAAUAGGAUUAAAGAAGGUAUGACGUUUAUUCUGUUAUUCUUCCACACUUAUUUCACUUUUAUUCCACUCUUAAUAUGGCCUUAAUGAUAUAUGAAUAUAAUUGAAUCGACUAAAGGCUUGGCCUUUCUAAAUUAAUUGUGCCCAAGCUCGAGCUCGGCCCAACCGAACGAUGAGCCGAACCGGCGGGUAAGAGGAGGGCAGCCCGCGUGCCAAACUGGUCGAACCGGUUAUCCACGGUUCGAUCAGAAAACUCAAAAAGAUGAAAUUGCCCCUAGCGUUCCGUGCGCUGAAGAAGGGUGGCAGGGGAAAUUUUGUAACUUCACCUUAAACCUAAUCGGCCUUAUAAAAGGGCCUCUUAAAUCGAGAAAUGACUCAUUUGCAACUUCCCACUCUCUCUUUAUCAUCCCUCUUUCUAAACCGCCGCCCUUCUCCCCCCCCCCCCCCCCCCCCCCCCCACCCACCUUUAUCACGGAGUGUGCUGUUUUUUUCUAGUUCCUUUCUCUUCUUCUCAGCCGCCCUUUUUUGCCUCCUCUUACCUCUCAGGACCCCUCUUUCUACCUCCGUUUUUUCGAUUUUUCCAGAUUUGGACUUGCAUGUCAUCGGAGGAUACUCCGGUGAGUCCUCCGGCAAAAUGCAAGUCUCGAUCUGUAGAUCUAAUGUUUUAUUUUGGUAUUAAACAAUUUUGGUUAUUUGAGGGUGGUACCGACGGGGGUGGCGGGGAGGUAGAGAAAUGGAAAAAAGAGAAAGUUAGGUAAGUAAGAUUUCUUCCCUAUUCCUUUUGAUUAAUGUCUGGUUAAUUGCUAACGAAGCUAACUACCGGUUUCUUUGAUGACUUUUUUUAUGUCUUUGAAAAUGGGCAUAGUCGACAUGUUUUGGAAAAUGAGAGGAAAAGGAGAAGAUUGCUUUUAGGAGGUAAGACAGCUAAUUUUGAACCCAUUCUAAUUUUUCUAGGUAGAAGUAACAAUUCUAUUUGUUGAUAAGUUGCAUAAGAAACUAGGUUUGUUUUGUUACUGAAGUUGUAGUAGUAGUCUAGGUGUUUUAAAAAGUUUUGUUUGAAAAACUUUAUUUUUUUUACUAUUGUUUAAAUUUUUUUAGCAACAUUGUUUAUUCCAAAAAUCCGUAUUUUAACUCGAUUUUACUAUGAGUUUCAUAGUUCUUUAGGUCUUUGGUGCGAAAAUGAUGAAAGAUGGCUAUAGGUUUCGUUGUUAAUACUUUCCAAUAACUUUUAGUUCAUUUUUGAAGCUUAUUUGAUUGAUUUGUUGGUUGUUUAUUAAAAUGAAUCAUUUAUUUGAUUAGUUGCAACGAAUCAUUGGGUUCAAUAGUAGUUUAGAAGGUUGCUAAGUGAUAUAGCAUAACAAUGUAUAUGUAUGAAUGAUGUGUGAAUGCUUCAGAAUAGGGAUGUUUUGAAUGAUUACCUUCAUUCAAAAUUUCUCUUUUAUCGUAUUUCAGGUGGCGGCGCCUAUCGUGAGUGACGUCAAACCGAUUUGGCGGCUUCUAUGUGUAUGGCGACAAAAGAUGUUGUAAAACUUAUUUUUUUACAGUUUUGUAAUUAUUUCCCGGGACUUUGAACGAGUGAUGUUGGUGUAUUAUUUUUGGGGGUUUUGGGAAGAACUGGGGGACGAAUUUUGAAAACUGUAAGCUCCUCUUUUUGCUGAUUUUUGUCAGUCCAUUUAAAUGCAGAAAGGGCUACAGUCACUUCUUUUAACCAACCACAUCUUGCAAAGUUUUCUGACAAAAAUAAAAGGUGGCAGCUCCCCAAAUAAUAACCGUAACGGGCCCGAUAUUGGGCUUGAAAUAAGGCCUGGAAUCGGGCCCGAAAUCAAAUUGGGUCUAACACAUAAAUAGUUUCGAGAUAAGGGAUUUUGCCGAAUUUCGAGAUAGCGGACUUGAGGUCCACUCAUUUCGGCCGUUUCCGUUUAAAAAGAUCUAAAACAAAAUCGGCUUAGAACAGUCUGUAACAUAAUAAUUACAUCUCGAAAAUAUGCUAUUUGGCUACCAAGUUCUCCCCUAACGUGCACUUUGAUUAAUUUAACUGAAUAAACUUCGCAACAAGUAAAAUCUCGACGCUAAAUCCUUCCUAGAGAUGCUACGACUAUUUAGUGAAAUGACACUGGCGUGCAUUCUUCACUCGAACGAAAUUUGGUUACUACAGUUGUCCCUCUUUGUAUUACUUUCGCUUGGAAGUGGAAAGUGGUACAAAGACAGAAACCAAAUUUCGGACGAGCGCCUGAACUUCUCACGUCAAGUCCACUAGGGUCCAAGGAUCUGCCACAACAUCGGGUAGAAAACAAAAUUUGCAACCUGACCACACAAACAACAUGCAAUGCAUUUCCCUAUGGGUGUUAGGGUGAAUGUACUAGGGACUCAGCUUGACUUAUCUCCCGUUCCAUGGGUUGACUAUACUAGGGACUCAACUCGACUUAUCUCCUGUUCCAAGGUGCAAUCCGCUUUCCCCAGGAUGCUAAGGGUUGAUGUACUAGGGAUUCGACUAGACUUAUUUCCCGUUCCAACGUGCGAUCCGUUUGCCUUAGGACGCUAAGGGUUGAUGUACUAGGGAUUCAGCUUGCUUAGUUCCCGUUCCAUGACUACAAAUGUGUUGAUGAUGAAUGGUUUCGAAAGAGUUUGAGUAAGGCUCCCCCUUUUUGAAAAAAACAUGCAUCUGAUGGCAAUGCUUGAUUGAUAUUUUUCAUCAUUUUCACUCCGACGAGAUUCACUGUUUUGUUUUCUUGUCGCUUAGUUCGCACUACGUGCUAGCGCAAUGGUGUCAACCCUGCUGAUAGCUGGGUAACCUUUAAUGUAUGUGCCCAUUUUUCUUUGUUUUUCCCCCGACGUCUUCAUAUUAUUCCCAUGCCUUGGGAUUUUAAGGAUCUCUUUCCUACUUUGUCUCUACUUCUAGAUAUAAUGGUAAGAUAACGACGACCUUUGUAAAUUUCUUUCUUCGGUUAGGAAUAAGUGGAGAAAUCCUGCCAUCCGGGCUUCUUUUCUUUAACCCUUCCCUUUUACUAAUUUUUUCAUUCUUUCAACGGUUUUCAUUAUUAUUACUAUUAUUUUUCUCCCUUUUGUCUUCACUUUACCGCUAAUUUCAUUUGAAAAGACCUCCUAAUGAUUAAUUAGAGCGAAGGUGUUUGCACGAACGCAUUUGCCUCAAGUUCCUGUGGGGUGUUGUACCUCAUCCAUUUUGUUUGGUGAUGCGUGAACAAUGGUUAGGAGAGUAGUAUUUGAGAAUUCAUGAAGUAUCCAAAACUUAAAGUUGACUUAAAUUAUCACUUUAUUGAUGGAAAACCGAUCACGUAGAUCUCCGUCAGGAACUUUAAGCAUAGUACUUGUUUACUGAAUAAGAGUUAAAUAGGUAAGGGAGCUUGUCUCCGUCCAUGUUUGCCAGUAUUAAUGCCCCCCUGAGAAAGCCCUUUCCCCUACAUAGGGCCCUUCAUAGUUCGGCUUCCACAUUCCUCUUGGGUCCCCUUGUCAAAUGGAAAUCUUCUUCGUUACCAACUCUCCUUCGCGAAAUUCCCGUGUUUCACUUUUUUUUAAAAGAUCUGAUAAAUCUGCACUGAUACAGGCGUUAGUGGUGGAUAGCUGCCAACCUUUUCUCAUCAAUUUAAUUUAACUGGUCGUAUGCCGCUUUUACCUACUCAACUUGUUCUAACUUCGCCUCCAUGAUAACCCUUAGUGAAGGCAUUUCUACGUCCAUGGGAAGCACUGCCUCCAUCCCAUAGACCAAUUGGUAAGACGUCGAUCCCGUUUAGGUUCUUACUGAUGUUCAGUAACCGUGCUGGGUAAAUGGUAGAAUUACGUGCCAAUCGCGGUCGGUAACGACCAUUUUCUGUAUGCUUUUCUUGAGGUUUAUUGUUUGUCAGCUCGACCGCUCCGUUCAUCUUUGGUCGGUAUGGUACCGAGUUGUGGUGCUUAAUCUUAAACUUGUUGCAAAGCUCAUGCAUCAUCUUGUUGUUGAGAUUUUUCGCAUUGUCGAUUAUUAUUCUUUCCAGGAGCCCAUACUAGCAAAUGAUUUCCUUUUGUAUGAACUUUUUGACAACGCUCUUGGUAGUGUUUGCAUAUGACACAACCUCGACCCAUUUCGUGAAAUAGUCGAUGGCUACUAGGAUGAAACGGUGCCCAUUAGAUGCUUUUGGUUCAAUCAUGCCUAUGACCUCAUGAUGCAAAAGGCCAAGGCGAUGCCAUAAUGUGCAACGAUGAUGGAGACACGUAUUUCUCACCGGCAUAAACCUGGCACUUAUGGCAUUUUCUCACGUGUUUUACAUAGUCAGAGUUCAUCUUCGUCCAAUAGUAACCCAUCCUUAAUAUCUUCUUAGCUAGCGCAUGACCACCGACAUGUGUGCCGCAGACUCCCUCAUGGACUUCUUUUAUUGUUCUCUGAGAUUCAGGGGCAGCUACACAUCUUUGCAGCACAAAAUCAUGGCUUAGUCUGUAGAGGGUAGUCCUAUGAACAUAGUAACCCAUCUCCAAUCUCCGUAGAGUCCUUUUAUCAUUUUCAGAUGCCCUAGCUGCGUACUCCCUUUUAUGUAGGUAGGUCUUUAUGUGAUGGUGCCAGGGAUUCCUCAUGCUCUUUUUGGACUCUACCUAGGUAGGCAGGUGCAUUUUUCUUUUUGAUUUUGCUUCAUGGGUUAACCUCGGUCUCGUCCAGUUUGUACAUCGAGGACAAUGUGGCGAGAGCAUCCGCUAUUUGAUUGUCGACUCGCGAGAUGUGCUCAAACUGUAUCGACUCAAAUUUUGCGGCCAUUUCCCCUAUGUAUUUAUGGAAUGGGACAAGCUUAUGACCCCUAGUUUCCCAUUUUCCUUCAACUUGUAUAUUACUAGCGCUGAAUUACCAUAUGCCUUCAAAUUCUUAAUAACCAUUUCGAGGGCUCCUCGGAUCCUGAAAGUGCACGAUUGGCACUCUGUUAUGUUGUUGGUGCAAUCGAAGCAAAUUUUGGCAGUAAUAGGGCACACCCUCCCUUCAGAAGAGACAGAAACGACGCCGACGCCCUGUCCCAAUGAGUUUGAGGCCCCGUCAAACUUCAUCACCAAUGUUUUUUGGACGAAGCCUUCCACUAAUUUCUCAGUGUUCAGUAUAGUUUCAUCCGGAAAUUCCAUUAACAUCGGAUUCGUGUCCGAGAUUGCAUGCUCCGCUAGAUGUUCUGCCACUACACUCCCUUCAAUGGCCUUCCUUCGGAUAUAAACGAUGACGUAUUCUGCCAGCAGCACUUGCCAUUAGCCUAUCCAUCUGGAGAGGGCCAACUUUUCGUGGACAUCCUUGAUAGGGUUCAUUUUUUAUAUUAGGAGCUUCGUGUGAUAUAACAUGUACUAUCUCAGCCUUAUGGCUACCCAUACAAGUGCUCCGCAAGUUUUCUCGAGCGAUGUAUAUCGAGAUUCGUAGUCAUGAACUUCUUGCUGGUGUAAUAUAUUGGCGCGCUCUUUCCUUCCCGAUUCAACAUGUUGGGCCAACAUCGCGCUUACCAAAUUUUCAAAUACCGUGAAGUACAAUAUUAGUGACCUUCUAGAAGUUGGUGGGGCCAGAACCGGAGGGUUUAAUAAACACCCUUUGACUUUCCGAAAGGCAUGAUGACAACCUUCAUCCCACUCGACAUUCCGGUUCUUCUUUAAAAGCUUGAGAAUGGGUUCACACGUUAAGCUCAAAUGCGAUAUGAACCGACUAAUGUAGUUCAAGCGUCCUAAGAAUCCUAGCACCUCUUUAUGCAUUUAGGGAGGAGGUAUGUCAACCAUUGCCUUCACUUUGUCAGGGUCCACUUCAAUCCCCUUUUGGCUAACCACGAAACCGAGCAGCUUCUCCGAGGUGACUCCGAACGUACACUUUUCUGGGUUCAGCCAGAGCUGGUACUUCCCGAGUCGCUCGAGCAAUUUUCAUAGCACAGUUACGUAGUCGUCUUCCUUUUAUAACUUUGCUAUAAUGCCAUCCAGAUAUACCUAUAUUUCUUUGUGUAUCAUGUCAUGAAACAGUGUGACCAUGGCCCGCUGGUAAGUUGCCCUAGCGUUCUUCAGCCCAAAAGACAUAACUUUAUAGCAAAAGGUUCCCCAUAAAGUGAUGAUGGUCUUUUUUUCUCGAUCAUCCGAAACAUCCUGAUAUGGUUGUAUCUUGAGAAACUGUCCAUGAAAGAGAACAUAUUAGUUGACGGUAUUAUCAACGAGGACAUUUAUGCGAGGCAAAUGGAAGUUGUCCUUUGGGCUUGCCCUAUUUAAAUCUCUGUAGUCUACGCACAUUCUCAUUUUUCCAUUCUUCUUAGGCAUAGGGACCAUAUUAGAGAUCCAAUCGGUGUAUUACGCCACCUGUAAGAACCCGAUUUCGUAUUGUUUCUGCACUUCUUCCUUAAGUUUGAGUAUCCAUUCCGGUUUCAUCCGCCAUAACUUUUGCUUUACUGGCUUGCACUCCUCCUUUAUUGGCAAGUGAUGUGUUACUAUUGUUCAUCGAGGCCCAACAUAUCUUGAUAAGACCUUGCGAAAACGUCCUAGAAGUUCUGGAGUAGUUUGACGAGCCUGUUCUUUUCUGCUUGGUCUAAACUGUCCCCUACCUUAACCUGUCGCCGAUUGUCCUCUGUUCCCAAAUUCACGACCUCUACUGACUCGUAGAAAGGUUUCAAGGAUCGCUCUUCUUAUCCUGCCAUCCAAUCUGUUUCUAGGUUAGAACCAUCACUGGCUUCCUCGGUUUCCAUCUCAUAAACUGGGUGGUGAAAGUCAACUUUAGUGUUUCGUACCUCUUCAUUGUUUUCAAACACAUCUGUAACCCUGUUACGUGACGGGAAAUAGAAAAGGGAAAAAGAAGAAAAGCGGAAGUGAAUAAUAUAGACGAUGCACGGAUUGAGACUUAUGAAAACAUGCUUUAUCAAACAUGUGAAAAUGUGAUACAUGCAUUCAGGAUCACUUAAAAAACACUAGGAAGCCCUUGCUUAUUUUAUUUAGUAGUCAUAUUUUAGAGUUAUUACAUCUGCAAUGGCGAAAGUAACUCCAAAGCCUCCCAAUUGCUUAGCUCUUCCUUUGGACGGAGCUGCCGCACCCAUUUUAUUCCGGUCAUAAUUCCCGUACCCAGCAUGCUGAUGAAGAGAUCUGCAAAAUCCGACUGUAACUCUUUGGUGGUCGGAUCAGUGUAGUUUUUCCUCACAUUUAUCUUUCCAGCAUUCUUGCUUGUGAUGUGAGGUAUGAAAGUCAGGCCUUCAUCAUCUUCUGUCCCACUUAACCUGGACACCCUCCUCCUUAUCCGUUCCUUUUGGAUCCUCCUUAUAUCAUCAUCGUUUAGAAUGUAUCGCAAUCCCGCACGGUUCUUAUUUUCUUUGACCUGGAUGGGUUCUUUCAGCACCUCCUGCCAUUAGUAUCAUAGAUUCCAUACUCGAUAUUAAUCUAACCGAUGUCUCGAGACUAAUUAGAGUUAAUUACCAAGUGCAUUAAUAUAGUACAAUGAUUAAUCUGAAAAUUAAUUCCAAAGCGGAUCGACAUUCCGCCCCUCUCUCAAGUGUAGCGGAGACGACGAUAGACCUUGGCGUUUGGGGAUUUAGUCUCACUUUCGUAUCUAAACCAAAUCCCAACAAUAAUCUUACAACUGGAAUUCGACAAUUACAAAAUAAAGCAGUAGCUAUAUGCAAGAGAAAGACAAUAACGAAAUUAAUGAUAGUUCCGCUUAACACAAUCGAAAUUAUGUCGUAUUAACACAUAAUCAAGGUUUCAUCAAUUUCGGACAGACAGCUUAGUUACACAUGGUGAUCAAAUUAAAAACACAGAAAUCAAGAUAAUACAUGAACCUGGAGCUCCAUGCUUCAUGAACGCUCUGCCGUCGUAAAAUUCAGCAAUGUAGGCGGUCCGAACGGAAGUUCCGAAAUGGAUUUCUUCACCUUCGGAGCUCGAAAUUGCAUGCGGUUUGAAGUGGCAUGUUCCUGGGUUGAAGAAGGACGUCUUGGGGCAGAGUAGGAAGGCUUGCGGGUCUGAUAUGGUGUGUGUAUGGUGUGAUUUCGAAGUGGACAUGACUUGCCCUUAUAUAGGCUCGAAAAAUGGCGUAUUAAGGCCUCCGACAUGGGCAUACCAACUCCAUCAUCUGUAUGCAAGCUGUAGCUGUCCCUGGACUGAUGAUGGACGGAUCUACAUGUGCUGGACGUCCUCAACCAUGCCCGGUUAUCCUUCCGGCGAUCGGUUGAGCGGUGGAUUGUAAAACGGGUCGUAACUUCUUCGUUGCAAAUCUGAUUUAGCUCCGGUUUGUAUCGUUGGAUUUUUAAUUCAUCCCUUUAUAAUACGUGACCUGAAAUUUUAUUAAACACACUAGAAGAAAUAUAAAAUUGGACCAUAAAGGUCCAAGGGUUGAAUUUACGGAAUUAAGUGCAAUAUAACUGAUAUCCGUCGAAACUUUUGUUUGCAAUUGAUAUUAUGACUUGAAGUGUAGAAAGUUUAGUGCCAAAUAUUACGGUAUGUUAUGAUGUGAUCAAAAUACCCCACACUUAAACUUUUCUUGUCGUCAAGAAAACUGUAACUUAACCCACACGAAAUACCAAAGAUAGUUACCAUCAUUUAUACAAGGUUUAGGAAAUGUAAUUUUACAAUUUACGAUGCAACAGAGGUUAAAUGCUUGGCCACAUCGGUGAGAUAAAUCUCUAGUUAGAAAUUCACGAGACAGUGCACACCAGAUUAAUCAAGAUUCAAAUGCUAAAAAUAAAAGGGUUAAAUGCAUUUGUUGCAACUAUAAGAUUCAUUUUGCGCUUCCUUACGAAAUUAUGAAAUUUUAUUUCUUUUUUAAAGUUUCAAAAUUUUGAAUAACCCGUAGCCGAGCAAGACUAGUGAGUACUAUACUCAACCUUUUAACACAUUUCAUUCUUCCCACACACACCUCAAUUAAGUCCCGUAUGGGAGGCAUCUAAACUGGCUGCCUAAUUGGCAGGGCAGCUAAUGCAGAGGUGCUAGUCCUCUACCACACGCGUUAAGUUAAUCAUUGAAUUAUUGAGACAAAUUAAAGAAGCAUUUUGAUUUAAACAUUUUUUUAUGGCGAAAGUUGAAUCCAGUUUUGAAUUUGCAGAUUUAAACCAAACAUUUUAAGCAUUUGCAUCAAUUAAUCCGAGAUGUACUAAAUACAAAAAUGAAAGUCUAGUAAAAACAAGUGGUCAUUCCGCAACAACUACCAUGUCACCCAUAAUCGUUACAUUCCCAUUGUCUAUUUUAAUGUGAUCCCUAAAUUGGUAGAUGUGUAACCGCUAGUACUGUUUGUGAGGAGAUUAAAGUAAAGUACGGAUGAAAUGUUGAAAAAAAUUUAAAACACCUCUCGUUACACCAUCACCCAACACUUGAAUUAUACAUUGCCCUCAAUGGACUAUGAAUCUGGGAUAAGAGGGAAACAAGUAUACCGAGAUAUCGAGAAUGACAAUGCCAAAGUAAACUGCUCUAUAAUACCUGUCUGUCGGAUGAUAACGGUAACACAGUGAUAACAAAACAAAACAAAACUCAAAACACAUUUGGCAAAUGCCACAACUAAAAAUCAUACUAAAUCACACCACACAAUGAUGCAGAUCCAAGAUAAAUAUAUUCGAAAAUGUUAAUAUUUUGAAAUACAUCAAAAAGAAGAAGAGAAAAAUACACAUCCUAGAUCGAAAAAUCAAUCAUAACUAUCGGAUCAUAUUCAAAAUUUUGGGCAGAGUCAAGAUGAUUUUAAGGGUCUUGGAUGAUUUUAUUGAAUGAAAUAAGAAACUUGGGUUGUCUCCCGAGGACCACUUUUUUAUCGUCUUUAAGUUAGAAGUUUCCAAGAAAAUUAUUUAAUUAGCCAGGUGAAACACCUCAUGGAUGGUGAGAGAGUCGCUCGCAAGGUAGAGUUUCAACCGAUGACCAAUAACUUUAAACAUACCAUGAUCAGGGCUCGAGAUUUCAACAAUUUCGUAAGGAAGAACUUCAGUCACUGUGAAUGGGCCCAACCAAUGGGAUUUAAUUUUCAUGGAAAGAGGCGAAUCCUAGAAUUAUAUAGGACUAUGUCUCCCGGACGAAAGUGUUUUCCAGGUUUUAACCUUGCGUCAUGAAGACGCUUUGUCUGUUGCUUAUACAAAUUGCCAUUUUAAUAGGCAUGAAGAUGGAAUUCCUCCAGUUCAUGUAUGUGGAACUGAUGGCGAGGUCCAGCGACACUCAUAACAAGGUUUAGAGAUUUAAAGGCCCAUAAUGCCUUAUUCUCUAACUCAACAAGCAGAUGUCAUGCCUUUUCGUAGAAGAGACGGUAAGGGGUAGUGCCGAUAAGAGUUUUAAAAGUGAUAUGCCCAAAGUGCAUCGUCCAACUUUUUUUACCAAUCCUUGCGAGUCCAGGUGACAGUUUUCUCCAAAAUCUACUUAAGUUCUCGGUUCGUUACUUUCGCUUGACCACUAUUAUGUAGGUAGUAACCAGUGGACAGACGAUGAGUGAAACCAAAGCGGCGACACACAUGAUCAAACUGUCCCUGACAGCGGGUUCCUCGAUCGCUGAUGAUAGUGCGAGGUGCUCCAAACCGAGUGAAAAGUAGUUGCACAACUGGCUUAUAAGCUAGCCUCUUCCAUAAGAACUUUGUGGGUAAAAAAAGAGGGAGAGAUGCUUCGAAUAUCAUAGAUUUUCCAAGAAAUGGCCUUAAUAUGCUCUUUUAAAAGGGUGAUGAGACGUCCCUUUUAUUCCGGAAUGAGGGAGGCAAUGAUACUGACUAGAAGCUUCGAGUAAUCCAUCAGAAAAGCAUACUUGAGGUGCUCCGGUAGUGCUUUCAUCUUCAAUAUUGGAGGCUCCUCAUAUGAGGGUUUGACGGGCUCAAUCCUUGAGAGCUUGACAGGAGGUUCAGGAGCAGAGUCUUAGCAAUCUGCUCAAGUUGUUGUACCUCAUCAGAAGCAUCCCAAACACCAAAAUAAAAGGCACAACUCGAGAGGGUCUUAGCAAAUGCCCUCAGAUAAGAAGAAUACUGAUCCAACCUCAAUGGAGUCAGCAGGAUAGUUUCAGUCAUCCUGGACAUGGGCAUAUUUCAUCCUGUCAGCAUGGCGAAAUGUGGCCUUUCCUUGACCUACUUGAAGAGUAAGCUCGCCUUCAUGGACAUCAAUGAUGGUGCGAGCCGUAUUUAAGAAUGGGUGGCCAAGAAUGAGGGAGGCAUCUGAUUCAUUGGUGUCAAUGAUAACAAAGUCCACCGAAAAGACAUAAGGUCCCAUCUGCAUAAGUACAUCUCUCAGGAUUCCACGACAAAUUCGAGUGGACUUGUUAGCCAACAGGAUGGUCAAUUGAGUCGGUGUUGGUUCUCCUAAAUCGAGCUGUUGGGAUAUCUUGCAUGGCAUUAGAUUGAUACUUACCCCAGAGUCAGCCAAAGUCUUAUCCAUGCAGGUGUUGGUGAUAUAGUAACAUAAGGUGAAAGAAUCGUGAUCCUUAUGUUUCUUAGGUAGCUGGUUCAGAAUGGCAGCAUAACAUUCAACAUCAAGAGUAACAGACUGAAUCUCAUCCAAUUUUCUCUUAUUGGUCAGAAUCUCCUUUAGAAAUUUCGAGUACUAGGGCAUUUUGGUAAUUUCCUCAAUAAACAGGAUAAUGCCAUUUGCCGUAAUCAUAAGUUCAAUGAACCUUUUGUAACUGGCACCCAUCAUAUCACUCCUUAGACGAGAAGGAUAAGGAGGUUUUGGUUUGUAGGGUGGUAACUCUGGCUUAGGGGGAGAUGGUUACAGUAGCCUUUGGAUAGGUGGCCGAGGUGGCUUUCUCAUCCUUCUUCUCGACGCUAAAGUCAAUGAUCAGCGUUGGAGGAAUGAUGACAGGUGUGGACUAUGGAAUGGGAGGAUCCUUACUGGUGGUUCCACUCUUGAGGGUGACACCUUCACAAGAUUCCGAAGUGUCAAAUCCUUCAUUAGUAACAAAGAUUGCUUUUGAUUCUUCUUGCAUAGAAUUGUUUUCUGUGUUGCUAGGGAGAGAGCCUUGUGGUCUCUCACUAAGAAUUUUGGAAAGAUUUUUCAAUUUCAAUUCAAUGUUAUGGAAAGUGGUUUGUUGCCCACGGAUAAUCUUUUCCAACCUCUCGAGUCUGGAAACUUCAUCAGACUUGGAUGUAGAAGAGGCUUGAAUAGGCGGUUAUUCAGGCUUUUGCCCAAAACCAGGAGGUCAUUGGUUAUUAGUAUAGUUCCUCGAUUGAUAGCCUUGAUUAAGACGAGAGGCAGAGUUUCCUUGGUUGAAGGUUGAUCUGUAAUAGGCAUGUUCAUCUAAUUUGUGAAUGUUUUGCUGUUGUGACGGUCCUGAGCAUUGGGUAUCAUGGUUGGUUUGGUAAGAGUUUUGGAAAGACUUGGAUUUAACUUGAUUUCAAAAGUUUGAGUUUUAAUUUUGACCAAAAAUUUAUCAAUCUUGUGGGUAACCACCACCCAAAAAGUCAACUUCUUCUGUCUGGUUAAAAACGGUAUCCCCAGAGUAACAGUCAGUAGAAUCACAUCCUUGAUCCCCUCAAGCAACAUAGACAAAGAUUAUUGCCGUCGAAUUCUAUAGGGUCCUGACGUUCAGCUUGCUCACUUUUUGAGAAAGCGCAUGCAGCUGAGAGAGAACGGGAGAAAUAACCGUCCCAAGGGUUUCAUGACGAAUCACAAAGGAUGAAGUGGUAGGCGGGGUGCUAUGAUGCUUCCCAUGUUGCCUAGUCAAAGUAUGACUACACAUAUCACAUCCAGCAGCCAGGUUGAUCAUUUGUGUGCUUUCCCGAUUGAGCCUUCAAUUGAAAAUAUCGGCUUGGUUUCGGUCAUCGAAGCUGUGAUGAGCGCAAGAGCGGAGGAGGGCUUGGAAUCGAUUGCAUGCUUCAUAUAAUUGUUCAUUAUCUCAUUGCAUGCAAUGGAUAAUUCUCUCUUUUAUCUCACCGCGCUUCUAUGGAGGAAAAAAUACCUUGAGAAAGGCUUUAGCGGGACCGUCCCACAUGGUAAAACUCCCUACUGGUUGAGAAACAAGCCAGAUUUUUGCAGCUCCCUUGAGAGAGAAAGGGAAACGCUAGAGGCGAAUGGCAUCAUGGUGCACCUGUUGGAGUUGUAAGGUGUCGCAUAUUUUGAGUAAGUAUUUGAUAUGUUGGGUGGAGUUAUCGUCCUCUUUCCCCAAGAAUUGGACUGUUUGUUGGACCAUGUAGAUCAUAGCGGGUCGCAAUUAAAAAUUGUUGUCUUCGACGUGGGGUCGGGCGAUGGAGGACCCCAGGUUCUAGAGACUUGGUUUGGCAUAAUCGCCAAGUGUCUUCUCUUCAGCCAUGGUGAAGGAUCCUUUGGGGGAAAUGCUUACGUGAUCUUCGCCAGAGUACUCAUCCUUGGAAUCCGUUCUACCGAGAGCCGGAGGUGCAAUUGUAAUUCCUUCAAGGACAUGUUUAGAAAAUUACCAAGUAAUCCGUCGAGUCAUUCAUUUGACCGAAUAGGAGUUUGGAAGAUGGGAGGAGAGAGGGAAGCAGAAUGAAUGAAUUCGUUGAGUUUUAGGUUUUGGAGGUUUGAAGAAGAAGUUUCGAGAGAGUGUUAAAGAAGGUGAGUGGGAAGAUUAUGGAGUACUUUACUUAGAAACGCCGCCUUGUUGCCAAAACCAAAACUUUCAUUUCAGUUCCAAGGAAAGUAGGGGAGUCACUCAGACUACUUAAAUCCCUUUAAACUUUAGGUAGCAUCUCUUUACGAAAGCCAAAAUAAUCCUCUCAUCUUUUUUAAUUCUCCUUUCUUAUGAUUUUAAAUUUUUUCUAUUUUUCUAUUUUUAGUGUUUAAAUUCAUAUAAAUGAUUGGUAGCAGAUUUUUUUAUUUUUUAAUUAUUUAUUUGGAUUUUUUUGUGGAAUAGGAAAGAUUCGGAGAUGAGUGGAAGAUAUGGAAAAGAUUGAGAGUUCAGUUGAGCAAGAUAAAAUAUUGAAUGGCUGAAAUGUAGAGAGAGAAAAGUUGAGUGACCAAGAGGGGAGCAUGGGAAAUAGUAUCUAGAAAAUAAAUAUAAAAUAAUUUAAGAAAAAGUAUUAUUAUUAAAAGUGAAAAUUUAGUAACUGUUUCGUACAAAAGGAACGAGGUCCACGACAACGACGCCAAAAUUUGAUCACCCCCGUAGGCAAGUUUAAAGAUAAACUCGGAAAAACCGAGGUCGUAUUCACGCGGAUUCAUUCCGAGUAUUACUCCUGAAAGUGCGAAGAUGAAAGUCUAAUCGUUGGAAUAGCGGGUAUGAAAGCACACAAAUCGCAAUCGAGUAUAAUGGAUGAGUGAAACCUGUCCGGAAAUGAAUUCACCAAGAAUCAGAGCAAGGAUGGUCAUUGUAACCCUUCUUCCUUGUUGCAGUUUCAUCAUGAUAGGCUACACCUUUUGUUGUUAGAUUAGGGAUGAUGUGGAUGCAAGGAGAAUCCCCUCAUAAUGAGGGAUUGGACAAGAUUUGGAUGAUUUGUGGGCUUGCUUUGGAUGAAUGUAGGGAGAUUGAUGCAUGUACACACUUGAUUAAACUAGGAGUGUAUCAUUGAAUGAGAAAUUGGUAGUAUACGAGGACCUUCCAUACCCAAUUCAUCCAUCUUUUUUUGUAAAUUGCAUUGACGCAUUUAAUCAAACAUUUGGCGUGCAUUUUGGUUCUUUCUUAGUGGACCAAACUAGGUUUAGAUAGAGUCAUUGGGUGUUGAUGUGACCACAUUAGCAUCCUUCAUAGGUGUUUGGGGUGCCUUAUUUCCUUGUGCAUCAUCAUAUUAUUCCGAUUGAACAUCAUUGAAUGCACUUUUGGCUUAUAAGUUGUUUGUGACCACAACAAGUUAUAAGGUCCAUUGGUACUGUUAGAUAUGACCAUGCAUAUAGACUUUAACGAAUAGGAAUGCAUGGAAGCUUGUAUAGUUUGGUACCUAACAUUACACUUUGGUCAUAAAAUACCCAUCACAUAAUCAUAAAAUAUUCAUAACAUUUGGUUUAUGUUUUUCUCGCAACUCUUUUUGUUGGAUUUAAUAAUCACCACCAGGAUGCCGUUUUUAGAGUCUGUUUAAUGUAUGAUGAUAGAAUUAAAUCAUUUGAUUGGUUAUUCCGUACAUUUUUACAGUGCCUGUGAGGGAAGGCACCCAAACCAUUUUCUCAAAUCAGGACCCGACCAUGGAUGCGGCAUUGAAGAGUGCCAUGCCAAAUACAUACCACGCGACGGCGGUGGGGUAUGAUAGGAAUCCUCUGUCGACACACCCUAACUGUGAUGCAUGUCAUCGGGAGGUUUGAAAGCGAGAAGUUCAACACACUUCCCGCAUAUACAUGUUGAGGAGAUGGACUAGAGGAGCCAAAAUUCGGUUUCAUGACAUAGUUAUUACGCGGCUCCUCUCUCAGGAUGGUGAGGAUGGUGAAAGACUUGCUGAAGUUUGUUUCUAUGAUUAGGGUUGUUUAUAGGGUCGAUCAGUUUCAUAAUAUGUUGGAUGUUGUGGUAGAUGGGUUGGCCAUUCAGGUAUGCAGUAAUCAAAGUAUACUUAUUUGUUAUAUUCACCGUACAUGACUUGUAUAUGGUCAUAAUAUACCUAUUAUGAUAGUGGUAUUUCUGUAGGUUGAACAAGCAUUGACCUUGUAUGAUGGACAACAGCCAAGGGAAACUGUGGUGGCAGAUAGAGAUACCACCAGCGUUGCAGUCGCUACGUGUUGUAGUAGUGUGAUCAGGAGAGAGAUUGCAACGAAGUACACCCCGCAGAGCAGACCAAGUAAGAACAACCAGCGUGGGAAACAUAUCACAGAUACGGUCGCAUGAGGCAGUGUAACAAGUUUAGGAAGAUUCGUGCAAAGGAAGUUCAAUCCGAACAAGCAGUCGCAAUGGACGUGGAAAUGGAGGACUUACUCAAUAAUGAUGUUAUACAUCAGUGCAUCGCAUUUUUGCAGGCACAGGAGAGCACCACUGCUACUGGCAACCCCCCUCGAUUGAGAGUGGCCCUUGAUAGGGUAAUCGUUAAUUAUUUAAUGGUCAUUAUGGAGAAAAGCCUACCUGUAACGCUAGCAGAACUGUAGCAUUAUAUAUGUACACUAGUCACGUAGUUAUGUAAGAACAUUGCCAUAUUAUGGGUAGAUCAGUGACAUAUUUUUGGUAAAACAGUACCAUAUUUUGGUAGCACAGUCUUGUAGUGUUGGAAGAAUAGUGGCAUAUUUUGGGAUGUAGAAGAAGACACAUUGUUCGGAAUUAUAAUAUUAUAUGUGGUGCUAGUAUUGACAUAUUCUGCUACAAGGAUUACACCAUGUGGUAGGUCCACUUCAAGGAAUACAACAAGGAUACUACUGUUACCCUAAACAAUAGGCAUAACAUCAAUGUACAAUAGCCAUAACAACGUUACACAUACUUUCUUAGGUUCAAACUGCCAACCAUUGUUCUUCAAAUGGAAAAUGUGACCUUCAUCGCCAUGGCACUCAAAUGGAAGGCCGUCUGGAUGCUCUGAUAUGAUAGUGCGAAUGACGUUCCCUGCUUCCUUGAAAUUGACUUUAGCCUUCCAAAAGGUAUCCUUCCACAUUUCAAUCCGACUGACCAAGUCAACGUGGCUGCUCCUUUUGUCUCCAGAGUGAAUGAUACCUUGGUCCACGAGGCUCCCCUAUCAAUGAUUUCCAUGCAUAAUACAAACACCCACUACUGUACUAGUAUCAACCAGAACUGAAAGUAUACAUAUCAUUUUUCAUAUUCAUGCAACCUUACUUUCCAAUCGUGACAUUCUAGUAAGUCUCUUGUAAAGCUCCCCAUACACAUAAACUAUGCUCUUAAAUAGGGCAUAAUUCAGAAACCAUUUAUAACGAAACCGUAAGAGUAACAUGGUACUAGCAUACCAUACACAUAUCCAUAACAUAACAUAGAUAUCUAACUAGGAGGGUUGGUCGAAGUUCCAGCUUCUAUGAGGAGGUCCACUACCCCUUCAAUUAAAAUAUGGGGAUGAAGUCGACUCCAUUGUGAGAGGACCAGGCGACAGAAGUACUUGAGCAUGUCCUUAAUCAUAACGUUCUCCUCAUCCCACCACUUCGUUUGGUCCGUUGUAAAACAACCAAUGUGUUGCCCCAUAAAACGAAGUGCCAUACAGGCCACACCUGUGAAUGUCAGGCUUUUGUGGCGCAGACACCACCCUCAACUUGAAGUCCUUGAUAUCCACGUGAGUGUUAAGAAGAACAAAUGACCUCGCAUAUUGCAUUAUCUGUGUUCUUGUCGGCUUGUUGUAUGGCUUGGUCUCAAAGUCCUUCUUAUAGAUAAGGCUAUUGAGAAUAACUCUUUCCUUUUUCUCCAUGUCCAACCCAAAGACAUAGAAGUGCUUGAAACUAUUUCCCCUUAUGUUGGGAAGAAGACCGAACACACAAAUAUAAUAUAGUAAUCACAUCAGAUUGUAUAUCAACUGCAUACCACAAAUACAAUACAUACAUAUUUCACGGAACUCAAGCCCUGGAGGUACUUCUUAUUUAAGAAAUCCUUGCAAGUUGGUGGGAAUUUAGAUUGAGUUAGUGAAAACUCAAUCUCAUUUUCAACUUUUGUCCUAGCAGGAGUUUGAAGCCAUAACACAGUCUAACUACACACAUAAAAAAUCACACUUACUAACAAGGAAUAGUCAGAUUAUACUCAUAACACAGUUAAAUUGGCAACAUAACAGAGGCAAAUUGUAUUCAUAACACACACAUAACAUAGAAAGACAGUUAAGUAACUUUGACGAUUCAAACAAUACUUGUAGUAAUUGAAAUAAGCCCAUAUAGUCUUUUUAUUGUGUUGUUGUUAGCCAGUAAAUUGUCAUUAUUGAACUGGUUGCAGAAUGCAUCAAUCAGUUUUGAUGUGCACCUGGUUUGAAUAAUAGACGGUCUCCAACUCAAGCUUCAUGACUUCCAUGCCUUUUUUUCCGGAAAGUCGCAUAUAAUGCAGCUGUUGAUAGGAAACAAUACUGCACUAGUUGUAGCCAUAACACAAAUGUAACACAAACGUAACAAAACGUAACACAAAUGUAACACAAAAAUAAAGGAUAUAUAACAUAGUGAGAAAUGAUAUGUACUCCCUUUCAACACUAGAUAUGGCAUAAGUUACUAUCUUGCUCUCAACUAGUGUUAAUUCAUGUUGAAGUCUAUUUGUGAGAACGAUCUUCAUGCUAGUCUUUUGUCGGUAAUAUGCAAUUGGAAUUGGAUUCUCUGAAUCACCUACCAAGUCCACUACAACUUGUCUCCACCCGGAGUUGCCUUUGUCGAUCCACCCACUAACUCCAAGAUGGCUUCUUUUGCGGUCAUUCUGUUGGUCCACUUCAACUUCCUUCUAUUUUCCUUGGCAACCUGCUCCUCUUCCUUUUCCUUUUCGGCUUCAUUAUCUUCAACCUUCUCUUCUUUCUUUUCUUCAUCCCUAUCAUCUGACUUCUCAUCUUACUUUUCGUCUGCAUUUGCAUCCUCCUCACAGUCACUACCAUCACAAUUUUCACCCUUGUUGUCAUCAUCAUCAUCAUCAUCAUAACCAUCGUCAUCUUCCUCCUCAUCUUCACCAUUGUCUUUAUCAUCAUCAUCACCAUCGUUAUUGUCCAUGAAAUCACCGUAGCUCUCGUCUUCAAACUCAUUACGAAACUCCACGUCAACAACUCCCUUGCCCUUCCCUAGUAAUAGGUUCUGGACAGACGCACUCCUAUCCAGUCACAACUAUAAUUAGCAAGGCAGUUGUCCUGCAUUGCACCUCGAUCGUCGCAACCUCUGCUAACAAUGUUUGCUGCAAUCAUGGUAUGAAGAUGCCUUCAGAUUAACCCAUAUACGAGAUAUAUAACACUUAGGUAAUUCAAAUAUACCACCAUCAGAACAGUACAAUAGUCGUGAAAAGCAGUUCACUGGCACAUAACAGAACAACAACAUAUCUUACGUUUAACGUCCAUAGAACAUUGUAAUAACACCCAUGGAUCAGUUACCUGUUAUGAAGAUGCAAGUUGUACUAUCGCCGUCUACUUGUCCAUUCUAGGGUUCGUUAAUCAUGUUCCCCUAUGCUGAUGCACAUUCACCCCAAAGGUAAGGAAAUCUAGCUCGAGACUUUGUCGAAAAUGUCUUGAGCCUAAGUGGGAGUAAUAGGUUUCAAGCCAGCUACAAGAGACGCCCUCUCACUCAACAUGAAUGACCAGCUGCCGUUAGGAGUACUUAUCCUUCUCAUCAUUUUGAUGACAACAUCGCAUCUUAGUAGGAACAAGUGGGAUGCUCUUUCGGAUCGAUACCAGAAAGAUCAACCAUGUCCAGAAAAUGCAGCUGACACAAACAACCGAGGAUAUCAAGAUUAGACAAUCAACCAACAGUAGUCUGCAUCAACAUAAGAACACUGUACAACUAUUAUAACACAACGAUAGCAUAAAUAUAAUAGCAAUAUAACUUAACAGUAACACUUACCACCAUGAAGUUCAUGUCCCUGCUGGGAUAGGACGCCUUCUGAUUCUUAUAGUAGUCCUCCAGACCUCUUAGCAGAUGAUUUGAGACGUCAGCCGCCCAAUUAGGAUUAGCAAUCUCAAAGUUGUGAAGGUGAAGAUACUUGGAAAACUUCAUUAUAACCCACCGGGUAUUUGUUGGAACAAGCAACGACUCAAGGGCAAGCAACAUGUACAACUUUGUAUAAGCCGUGGGAUCUUUACAAUUCUUCAUUGCAGCUUGGAGUUGAACUAUGUUGAUGUGAUUGUACUUAUUGCUCUUUGUACCGGUCACCCUUUCAAACUGCUUCAAUACCCUUAGCCCGAAAUGUUGGACAUCCACGUCGGCUAGACUUGUAUACAAGGGCAGACCAUAUACAUGGUGCACGACCUCUGACGUUACGCCCAACAGCUGACCAUCCGGGAACUUGAAAAGACCAAGUUCAGGAACAAAGGAUUGGAGGAGGAAUUGAGGAACCUCCUUAUUAAUCAUCUCUAGUUGUAGAUACAACAACCCAUAGAAGCCAGCGUCAUUGAGACAUAGACAGAUGUUAGUACGAUGCGGGUGGUCGUUUUCAAGUAGAUCAUUGGCAGCCACCAACUGUCCAAUUUUGCAACAGAAUGGCUUGCCAUUUCCCUUCUUUUUCUUCAAGCCAAUCUCCCCUAGGGGGCCCUUCUUUACAAUUGGUUGCUUUGUGGCAACUGCCUUUUCGUUAGCACAACCCUUCUUUGUCGGAUUAGUUUUGGCCACCAGACAAUCAAAUAACAUACUCAUAUUCAUAAUGUACCAAUGUCAUUAUGAUUCUCAUAACAACAAGACCAAACAAAGAUCGACAAUCAUACACAGGUACGUGAUCAUAUCAUAGUAAUAUCAUAUACGUAACAUAGGCAUUACGUAAUACUAAGAAAUACAAAUAGAUACACAAUCAUAUCAUAGACAUAAGAUAGGAAUAACAUAGGCAUCUAAUAUGCAUAACAACCAUAAACAGAAAGAUAAAUUGUAUUACACACAUAACAUAGGAACUUCAUACUAGUAAGUAGCAUAAACAAAAUAACAAUCAUAUCAUAGACAUAACGUAUGCACUUCAAAAUUGUAACAAACAUAGGCGGUCCUCAAAUCUCCCUUUUCUUGGGGGUUAACAGACACUAAUGGUGUUUUGUAGUUAGAGUCAGACUCCAAGCUCUAAAAGGAGGACGAUUCUUUCCGUUUCUGUUUCCACUUUUUGUUGCAUGAACCUUUCUGUACCCCACGUUGAGAUUACUGUAGCUCUGUGAGCCAUUUUAAAGAUUGAUGAGGGGAGAUGAGAACUCCUUUGUUAGUCUUCUCUAUAGGAAACUACGAGAAAGGAGGAAAACUUAUUAGAGCCUUAUAAAAUACCCUAAAAACCAAUCAUAUAUAUACGAAGCCUUAAGGAAGGUACAACAUAAAAAAAAAGUUAUCAGGUUUGGUGGUUCUAACCGUCAAUGUAUAGGUGGAUGAGGAUGAAUGUAACUGCUUUGGUGGAUGAGGACGAAGGUAACUACAACUUCACCAAGAGAGAGGCCUACAAACCUGAAGCCACCUUCAAAACUUCCACCCAGUACUUUGGAUCUACUGGCGGAUGAAUUUGAUUCCUCCAUGCAACGGCUUCACCGUCGCCGGUGAGAGGAGAGAGAUUAACAGGAAGAGGGAGACACUGAUGUUGAAGAAAGAGAUGGAGAGAAUGAAGAAAGAGAUGGAAAAGAGGGAGAGAAUGAAGAAAGUGAUGUGAAAGAGGGGUGACAGAAUAGUGAUAUGACCGGUCUGACACAAGGAUUGAAAAAAAUCGCAAAACAUUUUCAAUUUCCCAUUCUCGAUAAUGAAAUUCGAAUCUACGGAUGAAAAAAAGAAUUGAAUAUUAAAUAUAAAUAAAUAAAUUCUCGUUCCCAACCCCUAGAAGAAAGAUAGCCGUCUGAUCGAAGUCAACGAGGAGACGGAUUCCCAGUCGUCAGAUCAAGCUGUCUAGCCGUACAACUUGACUUUCCAUGCCAAUCAUUAACAUUUUUGCCCAACCGAGGCACCCUGUUUGUCUCCAGUUUGAUGAGUUCUUGCCGGUGAACCAAUCAACAAUGAAGAAGCUCCGAUGGAGGGCCCAUAAACUCACUAACAACUAGGUAAGGAUCAUGAAUGUUUUCAUAAGCUUAAUUUAAUAUUUUCUUAAGCUUAACCAGAUCUAUACAACCCUCCAUUGCCAGAUUCAAGUUUCGCCAGAGCCGCCGCCGUCUCUAUUUCUCAAUUUAAUCUCCUUUAUUUUGAAACCAGGUGAGGAGAGUUUCCCCUAAGUUAAUUUGGGGCUUCACAAUGGUUUGAAGUGGGAUUGAUCUCACCUGAGUUGACCUCCAGAACCCGAAUUUUGGAAUAUGGGUUUCGGCUCAUCGGGGAAGACGACUGGAAAACAUGUCAUGACGGUGCCUGAAGUUCCAGUGAUUUCAAUUCAGUCAUUGGACUUCUUGAGGCCAGAUCCGGUCACCUAAAUUUCCUAGAUGGCAAGCGUAAAACAAUACUUUAAAAUGUUAACAAAUUGCUUAAUAACGAGACCUAUAUAUCUGUUGUGACUCUAAACUUUAGGAUUAUGACAUUUGACCCAAAUACAUAAAAGAUAUUUAAGUGUUGAGGGUUAACCCUAAUUGAUCUUGAUAUGCUAUUCAAGGACAUUAAGGAUAAAUACAGGAUUUCUGAACUCGUAAAAGGAUUAAGGAAAAUGGAUUCUUUCGUUAUAAGGGAUCAUUAGUAAAAAGUAAUCAUGAUUUUGGAAAAGCCUAGUUUUUCCUUAUCACUUUAACAAUGGAGAUAAACUACAGAUACUUUGAGUCAUCACUCAGAUCUUUUUAUUUCAAAUCAACUCUGAGCCUAAUACCUAAAUUCCCGUAAUCAGGUUCUCAGAGUCGAAACCACUUUCAAGCGUGGAUCUCGACCUUUUUUUUGGGACCCUCACCACUUCACUUUUCUAGGCAAGUGGUUUAAGGGGGUAAAUUCUUACGUUGCUGUGUUUAGGAAUGAACCUAGAAUUAAAUGAUUACUUGAUCUAUUUGUUACUAUGUGUUUUGUAGUGAGUUAUGAUUGGUCCUAUACUCAUGUUGAUGUUAUGUAUCAUGCUUGCGUGUUACUUCCUGAUUAGUUAUGUUACUAGUAAAUCCUCAUCGUUGCUAAAUUCAUGUUGAUGCCAUGUGUCAUGUUUCCAUGUUUUUUCCUUGAUAUGUUAUGUUUACUUUUAAAUUCUUAUCCUUACCAUAUUCAUGUUGUUACCAUGUGAUAUGUCUUGGUUAUUAUCAUGUUAUGUUAUAAAUCACCUAAACAACAAGUAAGCCUAUGAUAGGCAAUAUAAUAACACGUAUCUCGCUAACUAGACCGCCACCCUCUUAUGUUACCUUCAUGUUUCACGUUUGGGCGGAUGGUAGGAAUCAUGUUUAUGGUUCGAUGAAUACGUACUCCCGGACUCUCACGUUUACAUUUUGGUGGUUUGCUAGUUAAUCAGGAGGCCCCUAGAUGUCAUGUCAAGUAAGCAAGCCAAGUAAAUAAUGUCAAGUAAACCAUGUUAAGUAAAUCAUGAUAAGUGAAUCAUGUCAAGUCUAAUCAUAUGUAAUCCCUAAUAACAUUAUUGUUUGGAUUGCUAACCUAAUGUGAAUGUGUACUCAAGAACUAAAAGCUUAUGUAAAACACUAAUAGUUAAGCACGCAAGACUGACCCCAAACCACUCACCAGGUCAUACUAGAGAUACCGGCAUAGAGACUACCUAAAAGAACUUUAGUGGAUGUUGAGGAUGUCACAUGAGUUAGAGUGAGUGAUUUUGGAGGAUGGACUACCAUGUUUACUCUCUUUCGAGUUUCUAGUACUUGAGACUUGGGUUUUGUUUUUUAUUUUUUCAUACUUGAUUUCAGAUGUUCGGGUUGCUCACUUGUAAGAGCCGAUUUACUUUGGAUUUAUGUGUAGUUUUCAAAAAAGUCUAUACCUUUCUCUUUUGACUAUCUUGAGUCUUGUGAUCUCUCCAAGGAAAUUUGGUAUUUAAAUAAAUGAAAAGGAUUUGUGAAAAUUUGGGUCGUGUCACAUACCACUUCCCCUUGCAACUCCUUUGAUGCCAAUAAACCUAAAAUACUCACAAAAUCACCCAAAAACCAACAUUAAAUGUCCCCAAACGGGCCAAGUGGAUAAAAACACAUAUUUGAGUUAAAGUUCCUAAGAACUACCCAGAAUAGCAUGAUAUGCACGAAAUUUGGCUUAAAAUACGAUAGAUGAAUGCAAUAAAUCAAACACUACAACUAACCCCACACUUAAGCUUUGCUUGUCCUCAAGCAAAAAACUGAUAAAAGCUAUGAUAAACAUCCACAAUUGAAUGACGUUACUAGCAAGGCAAAGCAAACCCAUAUUCCACAAAGUACCCCUAUAUUUCAACACAUGCAAGUAAACCCUUAAAAUCAACCAAUCUAGGAAGUAAGGGUCUCAUCAAAAGUUGUCCAACUUUUCAUACAUCAUCCGCCAUGGUAUACCACCCAUCUAGACUUUCUCUCAAAUGGCACAAUUUAAAAAUGAAGUCAAGAUCAUCUCACUCAAAGUGUUUAGGGAUAGUGUUUGUGAGCUCAUUCCUCAACUCUGACGCAAACUUCAACACUCGCACAUCAACCUACUUUUUAAUCAUUACAUCAUAGAACUUCAAACACUAUUCUAGAGGUCUUUUAUUAAGGAUUGUAAUCUGAAAAAAAGAAUAAGAGGAGAAAUGAAUUUGGUGGUAGGUGUACAUAUUGGCCGACGAUUCAGUCCACUCUAAACAUGGAGCUAAAGCUACUUAAAACAAACAACCACGAUGCAAGGAUUCAAUUUCCAUCAAGAGCUUAAUACUAGCUCCUCUAUCCCUUAAAUAAGCUACUACUCCUUCGAGCUUUUCCAUCAAGAGCUUUAUACUAGCUCCCCUAUCUCUGAAAUAAGCUACUACUACUUCAAGCUUUUCCAUCAACACUUGGCCUCAUGUGCAACAAAAUCCAGAAACUGGGUGAGGAACACGAUUUAGACAACAAAUGUAGCAUCCUCUGAUAAUGCAGAUAAUAUUUCCUUAAGACCUCAUGUUAAGGCAUUAGAAAAGAAGCUAAAUGAUUUUACUUUGAAAGUUUCUAACCCCCUGCUACUUAUGUUUAUACUUGUGCUUGGGGUGAUGUUCCUUACAGCCAGGUAGAAUGUGAUAUUUUCCUCACCAACAAAUUCAUGAUGAUGGAAGAAGUGGAUUUUGUGCGACAGGGCUACCCCUUCAAUCAGCAGGGAUAUCAGGAAUUCAGAGCAAAGAACGCCGAAGGCCGACGAUUCAACUUCACAUACCCUGGAAGGCGUUGUGACUUCUACAAGUGUAGGAUGGAGGAUUACAAUGUCAAAGACAACAUCACUCCCCAAAGACAAAACUCACACCAUUAAGGAAACUCGAGCAACAACUACCAAGGUCCACCAGGAUUUCCAAUCAAGCCAACUAAGCAGCAACAACAACAUAAUUCGGACCCUGCUGGAGGAAUAAAUGAAGACAUCAUCCAGAUGAUGAAAACCAUGCAUGUCUUAAUUAUAGCUCAAAAGCCUGCCAACACAAACUUUAUCCUCACUCCAGAGGAAAUCAAGAAGCAUGUUCGAUUCUAUAUCCAUUGGUAGUCAAGAAGAAGGGGCUUUGAAAGGCAUUUUAGAGAUUUAUAGAGAUCAUCAAGAAGAAGGAGGUUACAUUAACCUUUCUGGAAGCUUUCAUAAAGAUUCUAGCAUAUGCAAAGUUCUUGGUGAUGCUAAACAAGAAGAUAAAUCUUAGUGAUGCCACAGAGGUCUCACUCUAUGAAGAAGGAGCAAUAAUCCAAGUUGGAUCGACAAAGCAAAAAGACCUAGGGAGCUUUACUUUACCAUGCAUGAUUAAGAAUGUUAAAGUCUAGGGAGCUUUAUUUUACCAUGCAUGAUUAAGAAUGUUAAAGUUAGUUAGAGUCUUGCUGAGCUAGGUGCUAGUAUAAAUGUUAUGCCCCAAAGCUUAUAUGAGAAACUAGAUAUAUGUGAACUUAGACAAACUAAGAUAGUUCUUCAACUUGCUGAUAGGUCUUUGGUAAAACCCAGGGUAGUCGUAGAUGAUAUUUCAAUUUGUGUAGGACCUUUUGAAUUUUCUGCUAAUUUUGUUGUUCUAGAUACCCAUGAGAAUGACAGUCAUUGGCUUAGUCCUACGAAGGUUGUACCUAAGAAGGUGGGUUUCAGGACCAUUUUUGUUUGAUGAUAACUAUAUACAUGCAUUUAAUUUUCUAAAAAUGAAGUUGACCACUGCGUCGAGAUUAGUCUCCCCGGAUUGGGAGGCACCUUUGUAACUAAUUUGUGAUGCUAGUGAUUUUGCAGUGGGUGUAGUGCUAGGACAGUGGAGAGAGAAGAGAUUACAUCCCAUAUACAUCAUGAGCAAGAUGCUUAAUGAUGCACGGAAAAACUACACAACUACUAAGAAUGAGCUCUUGUCGAUUGUCUUUGCAUUCAAGAUGUUCAGGUCCUAUUUAAUGUUUAUCCCAGACUAUGGUUUUCACUGACCAUUCUGCUCUUAACUAUCUUCUAGCUAAACAAGAUGCGAAGCCGAUAUUUAUUCGUUGGGUGUUGCUCCUUCAAGAAUUUGACAACACUAUUAAGGACAAUGCGGGGUUAGAGAACAUUGCAGCUGCCCACCUAUCGCGCGUUGAACGGCCUCCUCCUGUUCAAUUAGCUCAAGGAGAGAUAAAUUAGCUCUUCCCGGAUGAUCCACUACUCCUCUUGGUAGAAGCAGAGAAAGUCUUGGAUCAUCAUCCUCAACAAACGCCCAUGGUUUUCGUACAUAGCCAACUUCCUCGCUUUCGCGGCAUUUCUAGAAGAUUAAAAAAUCAUCAGCAGCAAAGGAAACAGGUCUCCGAAGCCAAGCACUACAUCUGGGAUGAUCCUUACCUCUACCAUUCGGGCUCAGACGGAGUAAUCAAACGAUGUGUUAUGUUGCAUGAAUCACUCCACAUCAUGCUCCCUUGCCACACUAGACCUGUUGGGGGACAUCAUAGUGGAAAUCGCACAGCUCACAAGAUUUUAGAUGCGGGUUCCUACUGGAGGACGAUCUCGAAGGAUUGUGGCAGAUACGUGAAGAAAUGUGAUGCCUGUCAACAUACAUGUAACAUUUCAAAUAAGAAUGAAAUUCCUAUUACCAUCUCCAUGCUUGUAGAAGUUUCUAUUGUGCGGGGUAUUAGUUUUAUGGCCAUUUCCCAUAGUCCCAUGGUAACAAGUAUAUCCUUGUUAUUUUGGAUCAUGUGUCAAAGUGGGCAGAGGCAUAAGUGCUGCCUACUAACGAUGCUUGGAUAGUGGGAAAGUGUAUCACACGGCUUUUCAUGCAUUUUGGUGCCCCUCAUGUUAUUGUUAGUGGUAGGGGCACUCACUUCUAGAGUCAAUUCGAUCUUGUGUUCCAAAAAUUUGGUGUAACUCAUCGAUUAACCACUGCUUAUCAUUCACAUACAAGCGGUCAAGCGGAGGUGACGAAUCGUGAGCUGAAGCGGAAUCUUGAUUGACAGUCGAUCAGUCUCACAAGGACUGGUCAAUUCGGCUCGAUGAAGCUCUAUGGGCUUAUCGAACUGCCUUCAAGACUCCUAUCAGUACUUUGUUGUAUUAACUAGUUUAUGGCAAGCCUUGUCAUUACCGAUCGAGCUUGAGCAUAAGGCAUGGUGGGCCAUGAAGCUAUUAAACAUGGAUGAUAGUUUGUAGCUUCAAAACACAAAGAUCAGCUCCUUGAGCUAGAGGAGUACAAGUUUCAUGCUUAUGAGAGCUCAUGGCUAUACAAGAAGAGGAUGAAACGCAUCCAUGAUGCCAAGCUUCAAGGUGUCAAGGACUUUGAGAAGGGAGAUAAAGUGUUUCUUGACAACUCCCGCCUCCGACUGUUUUUGGGAAAAUUACAAUCAAGAUGGUCGGGACUAUAUGAAGUCACACAAUCAUUUCCCUACGAUACCGGGAAGAUCACACAUUCGUGCCAAGGAACAUUCAAGGUCGACAGUCACCAUCACAAGUGAUAUCACAGUUCCAAGCCUACUAAUUGAGUCAAAGUUCAUUACUUCACUGAUGGUAAAUAAAAGGCGAGGUAUCGUCUAGCUCAAAGAGGUUAAAAAAGAGCGGUUCAUGGGAGGCAGCUCAUGCUUGGAGUCUAUAUUUUGCAUUUUAUUUUGAGUCAAAUUGCAUGUUUAGGUGUUAGAUCGAGUCUAGAACAUGAUACUUGAGUCCCAUUCCUAUCCCAAGUCAUCGAUGAGAAGCGUUUUGAAUUUUGUGUGAAGGGUGGAAGGUCACAGAACAAUAUGUCAACCUUAGCGCUAUAGAUCUGGGUCAAACAUGAGCACCAGAGUUGCACUACCCCGCCCACCGCCACCACAUGGAUAUCAGCGACCGCCAAUAGAGUUUGCUGGCAUGGUGAGGUCAGUAUAGUAGUGGCAGAUCAAUUUUGGGGAGGGUAGUCUUCCAUGGCAGCAGUAGUAGACAGCCUGACAGACGUCAUUUGAUUUGGGACAGUGACCUUCAUAGAUCGAGCAGAGGAGAGUUGAGUAGGAACACCAUGAUCGAGCCCACCACACUCGCCUUCACUAGAUGACUACUGAUCCAGUAUCAUCAUUCUAGUUUCUCAUUAUGUGUUUGAGUGUUUUUCAGAAGUUAGUGUCGCCACGAAGGUUGAACUUCAUGAGUCAUGUAUGAGCCUCUUGGAUUUCAGACAACAUCCAUGUUUUCCUGUGUAACUUUUCGCUUCAUUUAGUGAGGACACUUUCCGAACUAAGUUUGAGGUGGGUUUGCAUAGGAUUUGUGUAUGCUAGUCUUGUUGGGUAGUUGUUUUACAUGUGCAUCCUAAACUCAAGCUUGUUGGAACUAUCUUUGAAUCAAUUACUUGGCAUGCUUAGAAAAAUUCCUUGUGAUUUGUGCACUUGAAUUGCUGAAUUACUUGUGAACCUAGAUUUGAUAGGAGUAUAGGCCUAUGAUCAAAGUCUAUUGAUUCAUUCUUUAGAAGCAGAUCUGAGGCAUAGACUCUAACACUUAUAUCCCUUCUACAUGGAAGUUUCAUCAAGUUUCAAUGUGAAUGAAUUCAAUCGGAGACUAGAGGAGCUGGGAACGAUAAACAUCCUCCACCGGCCUAGGUUUCUUCUUCGUAGCACAUGGUUGAAAUAGAAAUGAAGAAAAAUCAGAAGAAACCAUUUGGAGGCGGAGUGAUGAUGGUGAUAAUGAGGAGGUUUUGGUACCUUGUAUAAUUCAUCUCCAAUUAAAAAGGUAUUAAAAAUUAACGGUUUUUAAAUUGAUUGUUUUUAUUGACGGUGAAGGAGGUAUUAACUGAUGAAAGAGGUAUAGUGAAGAAAAGAACUUAUGGAACUUAAAAAAGAAAAAGAAAAUAGAAAAUUGGAAGGGAAGUUCACGUAUUUAAAUCGAAUAAAUUUGGGUGAUCUAGUUGUAUUGUUUAGCAUAUUUGGGUGUUAACUCAAUAUUAUGUUUAUUAAAAAAUCGACCAAUAAUAUUCCGCCACAUAACAUUUGUACCGGAUGCAUGUUUCCACCAAAAUGUUUCCUUAUAUUAAACUGAUUUGUUAAGUUUGAAUGUAUAUUAACUUUAAAAGAAUCGCAACAAAUGGGAGGGUUUUUGCUUUUUGAGAUAGAGAGAGAAAAUAGUGGUAGAUGGUCUGAUGAGAAGAACCCAAGAGCAAUAUGCCCUACAAGUUCUCAUGCAAAAAACUGAAGGACUUGGGAUUGGAAUUCACACCAAUGACGCAGAGCCUGUAUGAAGCAAUCAAGUCCCUUGAGGAAAAGUGUCAUUUUUCUCCCCCUAAACAACAGCAGCACCACAAGAAGGAGGAACCCAUGAAAAUUCAGUCCUCUUCUUAAUAAUAAUUAAAUCUACUACAUACCUAACAAAUGGCAAUCCUUGUUCGUUUGCAUAAUUAAAUAUAUGAAAAAAUUAGAUUUACCGGGGAAGACGCCUUAUCUGAUUUGACCAACUACGUACUUGUUUGUUACUAUUUUGAUUGUAUUGGGGUUCUAUUAUAUUCUACAAUCCUUUGUAUCGGUUGGUCAUUCAUAUGAUGAAAGUAUCAAGUCUUGUGUUGUAAUUGGUGUUUGUUAGCCCUACUAUAAUUAAACAAAUGCUUAAGUUGUUGUAAGAGAUAUAAUAAGAGGGGAAAAAUGAAACAUAGGAACAUACCUAUGGUAAGUACCGAAGCAAUGAUAAUUAGUUCCCCGGCUACAGAAGAUACACCGAUUAGAGCAACAAUUAGAAUGGGAACUAUGGCCAAACAUCUUGUUAAGAAAUUUCAGAUCCAUGGCUUCAAUCGUAGAUCAAGGAUGCCCUGCAAUGUAUUUUUCCAAACAUGUGAGGAAACAUCAGAACAUCUCAGCUUCUUCUAUGAAAUCUGUAUACAAUUGCAAAUUUUAACCUAUAGAAUUUUCUACAGCUGCCGUGGAAAUUGAAAAUCUGGAGGAGAGGAGCUGAGAUGAGGUGGAGUGCUGUCAGUUCGUAUCUGUUGACUGUAACGCAGAGUGACAUCAAGGAUCGGAUAUUAGAAGCAGAGAUAUCCACGAUGUCAAUGUUGGGAUGAUUUAAAUUAAAUUUUCCAAGGCCAAUGCUUUAUUUGAGAAAAUUGAAAUCUAUUAUUAUUGAAUUUAAGUAAAGUGUCUAUUUUGUAAGUUGUUUUUUUAUUUUCGAAAAUUUUUAAAAAGAAAUUAAAGAAUGCAUGGCCCAUAUUCAGUCUUAAAACGAGCGGUCCAAAUCUGAUGAAAAUAGCGGGUGCACCCGGUGCACUAGAUGCACUGAAGACCUAUGCAUCAGCCAACACAACAAUAACCGCUUCACUUAAAUAUAUUUACAAAAGGUGCUUUAACUUAAUAUAAUUAAAAGUAGGAAACUUUGCCAAGGUGAUCCAUUGUCUCCUUAUUUGUUUUUAUUGUGCUCGAAAGAUUUUUCAGCUUCAAUUAACAAGUACGAGAAGGAAAAGAAGAUACAUGACAUGAAAAUUUACAACAGAGCCCUUAUAUUUUCCCAUUUAUUUUUUGCAGUUGAUUGUAUAAUGUUUGCAAGAGCAAAUAUGGAGGAAAGGACAAAAGCUUCUAAUGAGGCCGUGCGAAAGCUCUCCAUUUCUGCGCACUGAGGCGAGUUGCUGUCAUACAUAGCUCCGGCUGCGGGUGCGCUCCAGUUGUGCGACAUCCGGUUGUGACUUUGGCAAGCAUAACUAGGAUCUGAGGUUUCCUCAGAUCAUCUCUCUUCUUUUCUCGUUCCUCUUGUCUUGCUUGUAGAUCCAUUAAUGGCGAUCAUCUUCUUCGUUGAACUAUUCUAAAGUGGGUGAGCUUCUGGAGAGAGUUCCGAAGGUUGUGAUCUGGUUGGCGACCGCUUGGCGGCUCCAUGAUAGCAAUUUCGUUCUUCUUCUAGUUGAUUCUCCUCUAAUUAUGCGCUUCUAAUGAGUGAAGGUCCUAAAUCAUGGAUCGAGUUGUUCUCUAUGUCAAAUGACUUUAAGCUUGAUUUUGUUGAGUCUGACCAAAUUGAUGGUGCUCUUCAAAUCCCCAAAAUGUUGUGGAUGAAGGACUUCAGAGAUUGAAGUUAUGCCUCGUCGCACAAUUCCUUGGCGAUCCUCCGACUAUGCCUAAGCAACAAGUGAUUGCUAAUUGGUUAUGGGGGAGAGAUGGCUUCAUUAGGGUUUAUGCUAUGGAAAAUGGCCUUUUCAAUUUCAAUUUUGUUUGUUGAGAAGUUUGAUUGGAUCAUCGGCUCGGGGCCUUGGCACAUGAAGAACUCUUCUAUUCUCUUUCGCCGUUGGGGAAUAGACAUCCAUCUGAUUGUCAAUACGGAAAGUGUUACGCCUGUUUGGCUAAAGUAUCAAAUGUUUCGAUGCCACUUCAAAAUAAGAAAGGACUCACUCGGUUGGCUAGCACCAUUGGUAAGCCAUUGAAUAUGGACAUGACUAUGAAGGAUGUUGUUGGCUCUAAAGCCAAGGUUUGUAUUGCUAUCGAGACAUCUCAAAUGUUACCUGAUUCCAUUCCUAUCUCAGUUGUUGGUAAGCCUCCCAUUCUAGUUAAGGUGGAGUAUGUGCACCAUCCAUUGUGUUGCAUUUCUUGUGCAGUCUUUGGCCGUUGCAGCUGUCUUGGGACUUUGGUCGUUGCAGCUAUCUUGGGACUAGGGUAUAGGAUAAGGAUAAGGGAUGUGGGAUUGCUAAGACGCUUGAUAUCUCUAAAGUUUUGCAAGAACCUGUUUCUGAUACCCUAGAGGUGGUUAUUCAGAAUACUACGGCAGAGGUGUGUUGCCCAGAAUGUUGUUCCAGAGUUCGUUGUUCAAAAUUUAUCAGUAAAUGAGCCUGCUACUUCCAUGGGAAUCCCUGUUGCCUCAACUAGUAAAGUGAGAAGUGAAACUUCUACUAGUAAGCCCCUUGUGCCUGCUCAGACUAAGAAGCAAAAAGCAAAAUUAAAUAUGGAGAAUUGGUUCAACCAUCUGUCAUAUCAGUCGGAUGAUAUUCUCUCCAAUUUGGGUGACCAUCCCUUUGUUAAUGGUGAAAGUCGCAAGAAGAGUUAAUGAAUGUUCUUUCCUAGAAUCUUUGGAGGUAUAAUUCCCUUAAAAAUAUAGGUUUUUAGUUUCUUACCUUGAAAAGUAUAAUAUAAAUGUAGUAGCUAUACUAGAAACUAGAGUUGCUAUAGGUAAAGCUGAUGAUAUUAUAGUUAAAAGCUCUCUGUCUUGGAACUUCUUUGGUAACUAUGAUAAGAGCAAGUUGGGAAAGAUUUGGAUUCUAUGGAGAUCCAGUCUUCAUUUUACAUUUUCCUGCUACUCGGAUAAAUUUGUCUUGGUUGAGAUUGGUGGUGGUCCUAAUUUCAUAUUUGUAAUAAAGAAAAUGAAAGACUAAAGAUGUAUACUGAUUUAUUUUUAGUAUUAUUAAGGAGAUGACCACCGUGUUUGCUACUGUUGGGGACUUUAAUACUAUUCUCUCCACUACUGCGGUAGUAAUACCUCUAGUAUGAUUAAUUUCCGUAAUUGGGUGAUCAUCCUUCAAUUGGACUUGUUUUUACUUGACAUAACAAUCAAGAGGAGAAUCUAAUUGCACGAUGUUUGGAUAGAUGCUUGAUUAACCCACUUUGGUUGAGCUGUGUUUCUGAUAGUACAGUUGAAUUGUUUGCUCUUGGGGUUUUAGAUCAUUGUGGUGUUUAUAUUGAUUCUAAAGUUAAUCUUGAAAUCUUACCUAAACCCUUCAAGUUCUUUAUCUCUUUGACUGCUUAUGCUGGCUAUGAUGAUGUUGUAAGCUUGCAUGGUCCUCUAUGAAUUCUACUCGUCAGGGCACCUUCAGAACUGUUUAUAGUAAGCUAAACAAUGUUAAAACUGCUAUUCGUAAGCUAAAUACUGAGCAGUUUUCAAACAUUAGUGGCAGAGUGAAAAAGCUUGAAAAUGAUCAGUAUAAUGCCAAGAUGGAAGCUCUUAUAGUUCCCUCAUAGGUGAAUGUUGCAAAGGCUCAUAAGAGACAAGUUGAAUGGGAUUCUAUGAAAACUAUGGAGGAGUCUUUUCUCAGUCAAAAAGCUAAAGAGAACUGGCUCAAGCUUGGAGAUGGUAACAAUGCUUUCUUCCAUCCUCGUUGUAAGAAGCUCUCCCUCAUCAACCUCUAUUUUUUGGAUGAUCAACUGGUUUUCACUAGUGGGUCUGCUAUUGGGAUUGAGGGCAUCUACUCUGUUCUAAAGAAGUUUUAAAAGCAUUUCGAGUUGUAGUUGAACCCAAACAAACUGAAAUCUUCAUCUCUCACUCAGUUAAUCAGUAUACUCGUGAUUUCAUCAUCAAUAUGUCAGAACUUAAGGAAGGGAAUCUGCCAAUUCGAUAACUUGGAGUGCCUCUAAUCUCUAGUAGGCGCACUACUCAUGAUUGUGACAUCUUGGUGGAUAAAAUCACUACUAGGGUAUCCAGUUGGCGUGAUAAACUCCUCAGCUACGUGGGACUACAAUUAGUCACCUCUGUUCUUGCUUUUAUGAGUCAGUACUGGCUAUCAGUAUUUCUACUCCCUAAGAUGAUUAUAAAAAAAGUUGAACAAAAAUGCAGUGAUUUCUUAUCUUGUGGUCAGUCGGGCAAGGGGGUAGGAAAAGAGCAAAGUUUGUAUAGUCUGACAUUGGUAAACCCUAACAAGAAGGUGGUCUAGGUCUCAAGGACCUUGUAACAUGGAAUGUAGCUUGUGUCAUCAGGCAUUUUUGGGAAGUACUUUUGGAUGCAGGUUCUAUUUGGAUUGCUUGGCUUAUGCGCUAUCGGUUAAAAUUCAAUAUAAUUUGGAACUGUAAAAAGCAGCCUUAUCAUUCCUAGGUUUGGAAAAGGGUUCUGAAAAUCCGAUCCAUUGCAGCACCUUUUGUGCUCCUUUGAUGAAGAUGGUACUCCACUAUGGGAGGGCCCUAGUAUGCCUCAAUAUUCUAUCUCUUUGGUUUGGAAUUAAACUCGAUUACACUCAGCUAGAGUUAUGUGGUGUGACUUAAUCUGGAAGGGACCAUCUAUCCCAAAGCAUAGCUUUAUUAGUUUGCUUGUAGUGAGAGGGAGGCUUGUUACUAAUUUUUCU